ACCCAGUGCCUGUAUUUGUGGAACCAAGUGCACCACAAGGUGCACCAUGAUAUCAAAGAAUGAUGGGGGGAAACACAUCUCAAACUGUGACACUGUUUCCACUGCGAAUUCCUGAAGGGAUUCUAACUCAUCACGGUCAAUUACCUUUUGUGUGAUCUUGUUGAAAAAGUAGCACAAUCGUGUGACUGCCAUCUUUAAGAAUACUGGAUUUAUAGCCCUUAUUGCAAUAGGGAGGAAAGUAGUCAGCAUGACAUGACAAUCAUGUGAGUUGUAGUUGGUGAGUGCUAGGUCUUUCAUUGACACAAAACUCCGUAUGCUAGAGCAGAAUCCAGAUGGGACUUUCAAUUUCUUCAACGACUCACACAUCGCAUGUUUCUCAUCUAUGUUGAGGUUGUAGCUUGCUGCUGGGAGAUGGUACUUCCCUUUUUCUUGAAGAACAGGAUGAAGCUCUUUUUUUAUGCCUAACUGCACCAUGUCAAAGCGUGAAUUGAGUCCUUCCUUUGUCUUGGUCUUGAUGUCUAGCAAUGUGCCAAUUAGACUUUCGAACACAUUCUUUUGGACGUGCAUACCAUCGAUCGCGUGUCGUACAUCCAAGUCUUUCCAGUAUGGCAAAUACUCGAAGAAAAUGGACUUCUUCUUGAAUGUUGCCCCUGGAGUUGAUUUGACAUCCUUUCUUAAUUUUCCAUCCUUUGUCUUCUUUCCAAACACAAAUUUAAUGUUGCUGACUAUUUUGAAAACUCUAUGGCCUUUGCUAUUACCUAGUGGUGCAUCUGAGUUCCUUUCAUCAUUAUUGUCAAAGUACUUAUCCAUCUUUUUCAGGCGGUACUUGUGUCCUUUCGAUAAGAAGCGUCUGUGCCUCAUGUACACUAUCUUCUUAGAUGCAUUAAGGGACACGUAAUGGGUUCCAUCUAUGCACACCACGCAACCAACCUUUCCCUUGAAUUGCCCUGAUAAAAUAAAGAGAGCAGGGUAAUCGUUGAUAGUAACAAAAAUAAUUGCUCUUAGCGUGAAUGAAUCUUUGCGAUACUCGUCCAACAUUUGAACACCUUUUUCCCAUAACAUUUUCAUUUCCUCCAUCAAUGGCUCUAGGAAAACAUCCAUGUCAACUCCAAGUUGAACUGGUCCAGAGAUAAGUAAGGUUAGCAAAAGGUAUUUUCGCUUCUGCAUCAACCAUGGAGGGAGGUUGUAGAUGGUGAGAAUCACCAGCCAUGUGCUAUGCUUGCUGCUCCUCUCAGCAAAUGGAUUCAUUCCAUCUGUACACAGUGCGAACCUAACAUUCCUUGGUUCGCUGGCAAAGUCUCGGUGGUUGUCAUUGAAAUCUUGCCACUGCUUUCCAUCGGCUGGAUGGUGAAGCUUGCCAUCAUUUUUGUGCUCAUCAGAAGCAUGCCAACUCAUAAGUUUUGCAUCCUCAGGGUUAGCAAACAAACUCCUCAGUCGAUCUACCACUGGAAGGUACCACAUCACUAAAGCAGGAAUCUUUUUCUGCGCAUAAUAGUCAACCUCUUCUUUAUCUUUGCUCAUGGGUUUUGAACUCUGUUGGGUGUUCUUUUGGGCCUUCUUUCGCUUCUUCCCUGCUUUACACAUGGAGGCAGCACAAUCCUCUCGAUAGUCUUUGUUUGUCUUGUACCGACUUGCACCACACUUUAGACAACUAUCCAAGUCCUUGUAAUCAUCACCUCGGUACAGGAUACAAUGAUUUCUACACGCAUGGAUCUUCUCGACACCCAUAGUCAGCGGACUGAUCAGCUUUUUUGCAUAGUACGUGUUAGAAGGAACUUUGUUCUCCUUUGGAAGCAUAUCGCCGAUAAUACUUAAGAACGCAUCGAAUCCAGCAUCGGACAAACCAUACCUGGCUUUUGCCAUCAACAGUUUUAGCACAGCUCGUAACGUUGUGUACUCUUUGGUACAACCUUUAGACUCAUCAUACAAAGGCUCUUCUGCUGCCUUCUUCAAGGCCUCCAUCCCUUUCAUUAAUAACAUUGAAGGUUCAGUAUGACGACGCAACAUUGCCUCCAAGAAUUCAGCAUCUUCUGCAGCCGUAUCAUUUGGUAAGACAUGAGUUCUUGCACCAUCAUUUCCCCCAGCAGAUCCACCAGCGGUAACAUUUGGCACAACAUGUUCACUCUGGGGUGUGUCGUGGAAAAACUGAUCAGCAGGCAUGCCUAGACCAUCGGUGUCGAUGUGUGCUGGGUCCCCAACUGUAUAAGGCGCUGAGCUACCCUCUCCAUGCUUUGUCCAAAUCAAGUAAUCCUUCAUAAAUCCUCGACAGACUAGAUGAGAAAUGAUUACUUCAGUAUCUUCAAAUAGAAGAAUAUUUCUGCAGUCGUAGCAUGGACAAUAUAUAUACUUCGUCUUUGUUCUCAAAGCAUGGUUCUUAGCGGCAUCAACAAACCUAUGCACCUCAGGUAUAUAUGAUGGAUCUAGUCUUGAUAAGUUAUACAUCCAUGAGGACCUCUCCAUCAUGACCUGUUGAAAAGUUAGUAAAUUAAUUGAAAUAUUGUCUACGAAUAUUUGUUAUUAAAAAUAAAAGAAGACCUAACAAUUAAAUCAAAUUGAAAAAGGAAUCAUGGAAAUGGUGAGAGGAGAGGCAACAUCUUAUACAAGAGGGCACAAAAAUGCUUAUCGCAUAAUUAAAUCAAAUUUACAUUAAAAAAUAACAUCCUAAACAAUAUAAUUUAAAAAACUAAAAAGAAAACUUACCUUUCUUAGCCACCUCCACCUCCUUCCAAGAAAUGAAGAUCAAAACCUCAAACCUUGUAUUUUGACCUGUUGAAAAGUUAGUAAAUUAAUUGAAAUAUUGUCUACGAAUAUCUGUCAUCAAAAAUAAAAGAACACCUAACAAUUAAAUCAAAUUGAAAAAGUAAAACAAGUAUCAAAAAUAAAGACAAAACCAUAAAUAUAUAUCUUUAUAUCACUAAAAUAAAUUUGACAAGGUACAAAAACACUGUUGAUUAAAACUAAAUAUAUUAUAUCACUAAAAAAUUUGAGAAUGAAACAUGGAAAUGGUGAGAGGAGAGGCAACAUCUGAAGCAACCUCAUAUAUAAAAAAUGCUUAUCGCGUAAUUAAAUCAAAUUUACACAAAAAAUAACAUCCUAAACCAUAUAAUUUAAAAAACUAAAAAGAAAACUUAUCUUUCUCUCCCAAGCAUGGAAACACCAUUCAUGGAAACUACUACAUAUAUAUUUCUUGGUUUCACAAAUUAGAGAAGUAAACAUAAAAAACAAGAUAGGAGAGACAUCAUAUAUCCAUCAUAAGCAACUUUAUUUGAGCAAAACAGACCAUACCUAGCUAUUCUACUCUCUCUCUCAUGGUGAAACCCUAGAUCCAAAAAGUAGCUCCAAUUGAGCAAGAGUGCACAAAAUGAGGCAUUAGAGGCAUCAACUAACCUUUCUUAGCCACCUCCUUCCAAGAAAUGAAGAUCAAAACCUCCCCCUUGUAUUUUGGAAAAACUAGACCUCCAAGAUGUGCUCCAAUGGAAUGUGGCUGCUACCUACAGUUCUGCCCGAGGAGGAAGAAGGGGUUCUCGGGUAUUUAUAGGAAGAUAAAUCACAGGCGGUUUGUUAUGUGAACCGCCUGUGUAAAUCCAUUAACACAGGCGGUUCACAUAACAAAACCGCCAGUGUAAAUACAUCAUUUACACAGGCGGUUUUGUUACAAUAACCGCCUGUACUGAGCCUUUUAUACAGGCGGUUUUCAAUUCUAGCCGUACAUUUUCAACACAGGCGCAUUAUAACUAAAACCGCCUGUAGAAAUGUUUUACCCCGCCGGCUUAGAACCUCUGUGUACUAGUGAACAAUAUCUACCCUUGGCUCAACAUCCUCAAGCCGACUAGAUGUGUCAAUCAGAGGGAGAAAAGUAUACAACUCACUAUCCAGACUAAAUAACAGCACAAAACUCUAUCUCUGUACAUUGCAUGACCCACAAGGAUGCCAUCAUUAGUGGUGUGUAUUGCCGAGCCAAUCUUUGGAUGGAUAAAGAAAAUAGUUAAGCUAUCAAGAGUAUAAUUAUUUGGACUAUUAAACAAAAAAGUAACGAUUAUAAUUUCUAUAUACAACAUUUUUACAGAUAGAGACAAGUGGCAGCGGUCAUAUAUGAAUGAUGAUUGUCGUUGCGUUUUUACAUAUGGAGACAAGUGGUAGCGUUGAGCAUCUCCAAAGUUCUAACUUGAGAUGCCCACUUCUACUUCUACUUGCCUAGUCAAGAGCACGCCCUACUGGAAAAAAAAAGGUGACGACAACUUCGCCGCAAAUAGAAAAGAGAAAAGUGAGGAAAUAUGCACAUGGGCUUGAUAAUUUAUCUUAUCUUUUUUUAAGAAAAAGAGUAGGACCGUCAAUUAGGGCGACAUGGUUCGUAAAAGUACGUCUUUCCCAAUCAUUACCACAUAUAUAUUUUAUGCACAAAAAAAGUAGAAAUAUAUUUAUUUAUUUUUGAACUGAGGCUUUAUCUCAUUUUCAUUACCAGAGCAACGGAAAUAUAAGAGCGACAUAUUUAAAAUUUUAGUUAGGACUUUGUUUUUUUACACAAUUGGUGACAUAUCAUUCAUCUAGGAUAUACUCCUAAAUGAUGGUCCGUAAAUGUUUGUGUCACAUAUUAAAAAUGGAAAUCACCAGGGUAUGUACGGCAAAACUAUGGCGAAAGUGCAUCGACAUUAGGACUAGAAGUAGGUGGAGAGAAUUAGCAUAAGAAUUUGACUUUUUGCUUCUUUUUUUUGUUUUGCUUGAGUUAAGCAUUAAAAUAGAGAGUUUAAUAGGGAAUAUUUUAUAUUUAUACACCAUUGAGUGGGGUUAGACGUGAAAGUAAACAGUACAUCAUUACUGUUCGCUGUUGUCCAAUUUACAUGCCUUUUCCCAACGGAAACAAGACACAAUCAGCACAUUUCUUCUUCUCAGCGUGAGUUAACGAGGUUGCUUACGUUAAAAUGAACAGAUUGAUGGUAGUAGCUGUAGAUUUGGAUACAAUUUUUUAUAAUAUAAAUUUAGUCAAAAUUAAGAAAAAUAAUAAAUCGAGGCAGAGUAAACUGUAAUUUGAAACAGAGAAAAUAGUAAUAAAGGGAAAGAAGAAGUUUUUUUUAAAGAUCCGGUUGCCCGACAUUAUAUUAAUAAGAAGAGAGUUACAAUCUUACGGGCGCUACCUCUCAUGGAAGACGGCCAUGGUAGGUAAGAAUAGCAUUAAGCUAAUUACUCAUAGUAUUUUUGGCUACCCCUUGGAGCCUAUGAGCUCCCCUCUGCGCUGAACAACAGUCAGCGAACUCAUCAUUUACCUUUUCUCUCUACUCUCGCAUUGAAGACUCUGGCAUUUCUCUCCUUCCAAAAGUGCCAUAUAGUUAGGAUGGCAAUCGAAUGGAUCUCCCUAUUUCCUGCAUUCGUAAGGAAUAGGAACCAAUCUUUCAUGUCGUACGUUUCCUCUCAGCAAGAUGGUUGGUUGAUUUAUUAUUAUUAUUAUUAUUAUUAUUAUUAUUAUUAUUAUUAUUAUUAUUAUUAUUAUUAUUAUUAUUGGCUUUUUUUGAUACUGAUUUGUUAUAAGAGAAAAACAUUAUUUUUUUUGAGCAAAGAGAAAAACAUUAUUUGCACGAAUGAAAAAAUAGUGCCGAUUGUGGCCCAUAAUCUCAACGGCCUCGUUGGAGUUCAGACAUGUGAUCGACGGGUUGGACUGGGCUGGACAGCUUGCAGGAGUUGGCCUCCGUAGCUCUCGUCUCAUUCGUCAACUGCUCAGUGGCCCAGCUCCAACAGUCCAUAUUGCACCUUGUAAAAAAAAAGUCCAUAUUGCAAAAAGAUACCUUUUAGAUCUGCCUUCUAUCUUCACAAAAAAAAAAAUCCCUAAGAAGUCUACAUAGUUUUCUCUUUUGGUCCUUGAGUUGCCAGGUGAAAUACUACUGUUUUUGCUUGCGUGAGAAAAUUUUUAAAAUACCCACAUCUGUCUUUCUAAAUCUCACUCUCUAAAUCAUCAUUUAGAGAGUUAUUUGCAUAAAAAUCACUUUCUAUAUAUUUUUUACUUUCCAACAGUUUUGCUAAAUCUCAUGCGCACUCUAGCGAGUCAUUCUCGUCUUCUAUAUUUGGCUAGCGAAAAACUCAGAAUAAACAAUGGUUAUAUUUGGAUAACCAUUUAGAGAAGCUGUUGGAGGGUAGUUUUUUACUAAAAUUGCUAUUCCUAGCAUUUAGGAAGAAUAUACAAUGUCUUUUGGAGAUACUCUAAGGCUGUCUCCAACAGGAGACUCAUUUGAGAACCCAAACCUAAAAUGGGUCUUCAACACAAUACAUAUAGCCUCCAACAGAGUACCCAUAACCCAUUUUGGGUAUCAGGAGAGACAUAACCCAAAUUUGGGUAUCCUCUCUCCUCGAGACUUAUUUGCAGGUCUUGUUGUUGAAGAAGACUAAAAAUAGAUAUAGAAUCUUUUACCUGUAGCGCUACGACAAAUGAAUCUUUAUUUUAGGUGAUGAUUGUUGAAGAUAGUCUUAAUGCAAUAAUGCAAUGGUACGUAUCCCUUCCGCAUAUUUUUGAAAAAAAUAGAAAUGUCAGCCAGUUCAUGCGCGUGGUGGUUAAACCAGAAAGGGGCACACAUGUGGUCCAUUGCGAUCAAUCAACACCAAGACUUUGGCUCCUUUAGUUCCGUUCCUGAAAGUUUUUGGGUACCAUAGUGUGUGUGUGUGUAUAUAUACACACACACUAUAUAUAUAUAUAUAUAUUUGUCUUGCAAAAUAUAUGUAAACUGUAUAAUUAAUUAUUUUUUAUCAAUAUUUAAUACUUCGUACAUGUGUCUAAAUAUUUAAUGAGAUAAGAUUAAUAUUUUUUGAGUGCGAACUAAACAAGGACUUCAUUGAUUAUGCAUUUGGCAAUUAGCGAGAAUCGCGUGACAACAAAAUCAAGCCUAUCUCAUCCACUCUUUUCCCACAAUGGCAUGUGGCAGCUCCUGAUUAGCUCUGGCCACUCCUACGUGGCACACCCCAGGAUCUUGUGCGAUAGGCCACUGGGGCCCACCAGGUGCCACAUCAGAUGCCAAGCCAUCAUCCCGGCAGUUCCAACCGGCCAAUCCCAGCCCAGCAAAAGAUGGCCUGCUAUCCAAUCCCAACUGUAUAAAAGCAGCUGCUGUGUUCUGUUUGACACAGCCAUCACACACACAUACACAACACAAGCAUCAGAUAGAAGAAGCAGUGAUCUGAUCGACAUGGCCGCCGCCGCCACCAUGGCUCUGACCUCCCGCGCGCUCGUCGGCAAGCCGGCGACCACCAGCACCAGGGACGUCUUCGGCGAGGGCCGCAUCACCAUGCGCAAGACUGCUGCCAAGCCCAAGCCAGCGGCGUCCGGCAGCCCCUGGUACGGGGCCGACCGCGUCCUGUACCUGGGUCCGUUCUCCGGCGAGCCCCCAAGCUACCUGACCGGCGAGUUCCCCGGCGACUACGGCUGGGACACCGCCGGGUUGUCCGCGGACCCCGAGACCUUCGCCAAGAACCGCGAGCUGGAGGUGAUCCACUGCCGCUGGGCCAUGCUCGGCGCGCUCGGGUGCGUGUUUCCGGAGCUCCUCGCCCGCAACGGCGUCAAGUUCGGCGAGGCCGUGUGGUUCAAGGCCGGUUCACAGAUCUUCAGCGAGGGCGGGCUGGACUACCUCGGCAACCCGAGCCUGAUCCACGCGCAGAGCAUCCUGGCCAUCUGGGCGUGCCAGGUGGUGCUCAUGGGCGCCGUCGAGGGGUACCGCGUCGCCGGUGGCCCGCUCGGGGAGGUGGUCGACCCGCUGUACCCUGGCGGCAGCUUCGACCCGCUCGGGCUCGCCGACGACCCGGAGGCGUUCGCGGAGCUGAAGGUGAAGGAGAUCAAGAACGGCCGUCUCGCCAUGUUCUCCAUGUUCGGCUUCUUCGUGCAGGCCAUCGUCACCGGCAAGGGUCCCCUCGAGAACCUCGCGGACCACCUGGCCGACCCCGUCAACAACAACGCCUGGGCCUAUGCCACCAACUUCGUCCCCGGCAAGUGACCGGCAGGCCGCAGGAGUCCGCCAUGGAUGUCACCACGAGAGCAUUCCAGCGCAUGGUAGGGUCUACAUUGCCAUGAGGAGGGUCCGUGGCAAGUGAAUUUAACUUUUGUAUAGAACAGUGUGUUAAGCGUUCGAUUAUUUGGGAUUAUACAUACGAAUGAGGUAUUUGGCGGUAUCCUACAUUUGUACAGAUGGAGACAAGAAGGAUGAUCGUGUAUGAACUUUUGGCAAAGGUAGCUUUUUGGCUGAAACUAAGAGAAACUCCUAAAAAUAUGGUAUGCACAAAGUUUAUCCUAGAGAAUUAAUUUAAGUCAAUUAGUCACUUUUUCACAAAAAAGAAUCAGCUCUGCAGAGAAUGUAGAGUAGGUGGAGCUCCCCCAAACAUGAUCUUCAAAUGAGCUAGUGCUAUUGCAUUUUCAUAGCCCAUGGGUUUAGUGUUGAGUAUGUCUAUAUUUGUGUGUUUAGAUCACUUCAAAAGUUUGGUUGUUGUUUUUUGGAUGAUCGCACUACUUCAGAACAUGCAAGGAUUGUUGAAGCAUUAACGUCAGUUGUGCUAGAGCCGACAGUGAUUACAUAUUAGUACCAAUUUGUAAGCCUGGAAUCCAGAAAAUUCAGGGAGGCUAUUCACUCGGCACUGAAGGCAUCCGAUAGUGACAUGUCACUGCCAAGCCAAACCAUAAACCAGCAGUGAUAAGUUUCAUAUUAGUGUCAGCUAAGGCAACAACCGGACAGUGGUAGGUAUAUCAUUGCUGGGUCAAGCCGUAAGCCGAUAUUGAUAUUUUCAUAUCACUAUUGUGUUUCAUGUUGGCCGGUAGUAACCAUCAAUUGAUUAAUUCUCCACCAUUAGAUCCACCUAUCACGCCCUAUCACCGUUGCUUCGGGUUAUGAAACCAGCGUCCGAAUGCCUCCAGAGGAGCUGGGCCCUCUGUUGGAGAAAGUUCUCGUCGUACAUCCGAACUAAAAAAGAAACCCAGUCCUAGAUAUGUUUCAUUCGCUACUCUUUUAAAGUAUGUCUACAUCUAGAGUGGUUAGAGUAAUAGACACAUUUGUUUACACGCUUUAGAAAAUAUCUACAUCAUGAGAGCUUGUUGUGCUAGACAUGCACUAUUAGAAUCAUGCGCUUUAGCUAGUGUCUAGGGUACUCGAUAAACAGAGCUGUGUCUCUAUAAUUUUAAGGACCCUUGUGCAAGUAAAAGGGUAAAGGCCCAUCAAAUAUUUUUUUAUUGUCAAAUAUAUAAUAUAUAUAGUACAACUAAAUAUAAUUAAUUUGCACCAUAUGUUUUAGUUUAUAAAAGGCAAUUAUAGUACAACAAAUAAAUAAGUAGAAUACAAUUAGAAAUUUAGAACCCUAUCACUGAAUACUAAUAACAAAAUUGGUGAAGUCUCGAUCAGCUAUGCCCUUGCUCUUCCUGCUCCAGUGUCUAGUAGUAACAUCGUGUGCAGACGUGUGGUGUUAGCGUGUCAUGGAGCCACAUUGUUGCAUUGGACGAUUGGACAAUAGGACGAGAAGACAAUAAAGAGGAACAUUGAUCUGCUCAACUAACCGAUCAAACGAGAAUAUGAAGCAACACCAGCAAUAGUUGGAUGUGGAUGACGUGCUGAUUAACGGAUUUCUUUUUUAAUUAAUUGAUGGUUUUCUAUAGUGUCUGUAUAAGCCUUUACAAAAUUGGCAAAUCUAUAUACUAAGUAUUAUAUAUUAUAUAUUACAUAUAUACUUAUAGGCCCCUUAGCGCCGUGGGCCCCUGGCUGUCGCACCGGCUGCCCACCCCCUAGAGACGGCCCUGUCGACAAAUGACAAAAAAUACUCGGUAAAUAAACCGCUUGCCGAGUGCCACAUUCGGCAAAGUCGAGACGACAAAAAAGUUGACGGCAAAGUAGGCUUUGCCAAAUGUCGAGAAACAAAAGUAGCUGUCACAGCCAAUCUAACGAUGCGAGACGAUUUGCCGAGUGUCCGAGACACAACACUCGACAAAGAUAUUUAAAAAAAAUCUAGGUUUGUCGAGCAUCCCGUCUGAGACACUAUACAAAGUACCAAGUUUGCCUUGUCUGGACAAGGCACUCGGUAAAGCCAUAUGGUUUGCCUAGUGUCCUAGCCCGGACACUCAGCAAAGCCAUCAAGUUUACAUAGUGUCCUAGCAUGGACACUCGCAAACCUUGUUUGCCAGGUUCCUGGGGUGGCCUUUUGCCGAGUGUUGUGGCCAAUACACUCGGCAAAGAGUGUCUGUGGCAAAGAGUGUGUCUCCGAUAGUGAUGGUUAUAGAUACGUUUUAAGAGAAGCGUAUGUACAUUUCUACUAAACAUGAUUCUUGACACUCUUUUAAACAUAAUAUCCAAAACCAAUUCCACCAUGAGGCCUAAUAAGGCAUAUGAUCGAAGCCAGUAUCACUACACCACAACAUCAUAAUUAGCGCCGGAUGAUCUGACGCUAAAAGCGGCUACAACAUCAGAUGGUCUGACGCUAAAAACAUAUAGUGUCAGACUUCUACAGACGGUGUAAGUGCUGACGCUAAAAACAUACAGCAUUAGACCAUACUUUUAGCGUGAGACAGUCUGUCGCCCUGAAUAUAUUUUGCGUCAGACCGUCCAUUGCUAUUUUUCAGCGACAGAUAGUCUGUUACCAUACCUACAGCGACAGAUGAUCCAACAGUCCAUGCAAUUUCAGCGUCGGAUAGUCCAACAGACAAUAUAAAUACAAAAAGAAAUAAAUACAAUUGCAAACCAGCACAUAUAUGAUACCCAGACUCAAACUGAAGUUCCAUCACAUAAAGAUACACACACAUACAUCACAUGAAGUUCAAUCCAUAUAUAACAAUACAUUGUCUUACACACAGUUUGAACCAUCCAACAAAGUUUAGCCCCAAAAGGUUAUAUGAAUGCACAUCCCAAAAGACUAGUAGUUUAUGUUUUAGACAGCAAGGUUUGUGCACAGUCACUUGUACAAACUAAAAAAACCAAAAGCCAUGGUUCCAACAACAGAGCACAUCCAUCAAGUUAGGUAUGGAGAACCAUUUUCUAGGAACUCAAGGCAAAGACUUGUGGCCAGCACUUCCUGAAAAAUAUAACCAUAAUUAGGCAAUUUUAGAAAAUAUGUAAAUUUGUACAAUACUAGUUUGUAAUCAACAAAAUGAUGCUGAGAGAAAAGCUAAUUUAGACUAGAGAAAGAUUAGUUACUUAUUAACUCAAAAUACUUGGAUUUUUAACAAAGCCAUUACAUAUUGUGUUCCUAGAUCUUUACAAAACUAUGCAUACAGUCUGAUAUUUCAGUUUACCAAGUGAAACUAAGUCAUUUGUCAAAAAAGAUGAAAUAUAUAUAUUUGUGGGCUAGGUGUCACUUCUCAGUCAAAGUAUAUUCAAGGUAUGUAGCUAUGAGCCUCUUAAGCAUGAACUUUGGAUUUUGUACUACUAUGAUACUACAGUUCAUGAUCUCUGAUAAAAUAUAGUGAUUGCCUUCCAAAUACAAUCAUGUGUGCUGAAUUUAGUCACUAGGUUUUUAUAUAUGGUCACUAAGUUUGUACAUAGUAAGAUGAAUGUAAGUUUAGGAACAUACUUACAGUGCCCUUGAGAGGUGUACUAGAUGCCUUCUUGUCUUCCCUCUUCUUGCAUUCCUUUACCUAUCACAGAUGGUUUAAUUAGAAACAUUGGCCAUGCAUCACAGGUAAAACCAAAAUGAAAAUUAUAUAAGUCUAGUUUAUUACUAAAAGAGCAUCUAGGCCCCUAAAGAUUUCAGUGAUUAAUGACAUUGUUGAUUACUAUGACUAACGUGUGUUUUGCAGAGGCAAAGUCAUUAGUGAGGUCAUGAUAAUAGGUACUCGAUGAAUAGAGACGUAGAUGCCUACUUAAUAGUGGAAAUCAUUUCGGUUUUCUAAGGAUGGAUGGACAUCGUCAAGACUAGAUUAGGUCUAAGUGCCAUAUGGUGAAGAAGGGCACUUAGAGUAGUUUAGGACUUUGUUUUCCUUUGACCAUACCAUUAAGAGGGGCUUUGAUCUAGUAGCUUAACUUAGGCAAGGCUUUAGGUUUGGUGUGGUGCACACUUGGUAAACCUAGCACUAGGUAGCUCAGAGAUAGUCCUUAGAUCAAGAGGAACGAACUUUGUUUUGGAACGAUCGCGUUUCGACGAAGUUAGGGUGCCUAAGUAGGCACCGGACGCUGCACGAGAUGCUCUGUGAGUGCGUCCGGUGAGGUCCUUAGCCGUUAGAGGGCUUCGGUGCUUAGGGUUAGGCACCGGACGCUGGCACCGGACUCACCGGGCAGCGUCCGGUCCCAUACCCAAGGAGGUUGCAAACCUGCCCUGAGCACCGGACGCUAGCACCGGACGCACCGGGUAGCGUCCGGUCUUAAACUCAGGGAGUUUGUAAAACUCCCCGAAGCACCGGACGGUGCCAUCGGACGCUGGGAAGUAGCGUCCGGUGACCUGUCAGAUGCAGGUACAGUUAGCCGUUGGGUGUCACCGGACGCUCGGUGCAGAGCGUUCGGUGCAACAUCAACAGCGUCCGGUGACCCCGUUUUCAAUGGAAAACGGUUGGCUGACCUUUGGACUUCGUGGGGUGUAUUUAUACUCCUCCACCUCAUCCAUGAGAGGUCUCUUGCCCAUUUGAAUAGUUGAGAAACUUGUUGUGGAGCAAGAGAGUAGCAAGAGCCUAGAGAGGAUUGAGAUUUGAGUGAUUUCUUGUGAGAAUCCUUCUCUAGUUGAAUUCCAAGAGUCAAGUAUGCAUCCACCACUCUCUAGUGCCUUGUUUGGGUCAAGUGAGAGUUCUUUGCUUGUUACUCUUGGUGAUCGCCAUCACCUAGACGGUUCGAUGGUGAUUGGAGGCACGAAGACCGCCCGGAGUUCUUGUGGGUGGCUCGUGUCAAGCUUGUGAGCGGUUUUGGGCGAUUCACCGCGACGGAGUGUCGAAGAAUCAGCCCAUAGAGAGCACUUGGUCCUUGCGCGGACCAAGGGGGAGCAAGACCCUUGCGCUGGUGCUCCAACGAGGACUAGUGGAGAGUGGCGACUCUCCGAUACCUCGGCAAAACAUCGCCGAGAACUUUCUUCCACUACUCCUUUACUUUCUAGCAUUUACUUUGUGUUUUUACAUUCUUAGAAUUGCCAUGCUAGAAUAGGAUUGGAACUAGGUUGCAAAACUUUUAUCCAGUAGCUCUGUAGUCACAUUAGGCACAAGGGGUUGAAUUGGAGCUUAUAGGUUUCUUAAAUUUUUAGAGAAGCCCAAUUCACCCCCCUCUUGGGCAUCUUGAUCCUUUCAAUUGGUAUCAGAGCCUAGUGCUCAUUAUUUAGGCUUCACCGCCUAGAGAAAGAUGUCUAACGGGGAUGGACCGCCACCCAUGUCCGAUGGGGAUGACUUUCCGUAUUGGAAAAUACGGAUGGAGUCAUACCUUGAGGCAUGUGACUCAAAGUGCCUAAAAGCCGCGACCGAAGGGUUUCCCCCUCCGGCAAAAGACGCCGUUCUUACUCCACAAGAACAAGAAAACGAAAAGUGGAAUGCGAAGGCCAAAAACCACAUCUUUAGAGGCCUUUGCAAAGAGGUGUUCAACCGCGUUCGGAGCCACAAAACUGCCCAGGCUCUAUGGAAGGAACUUUGUGCGCUCCAUGAGGGAUCAAAGAGUGAACGCGAGGAACGCUAUCACUUAGUGAUGAACAAGCUUAAUACAUUUGAAAUGCUUCCCAAAGAAAAUGCUAAUGAAAUGUAUUCUCGCUUGAAUGUGAUUGUAGAGGAGCUUAAUGGACUUGGGCUCACUCAAAUGAGUGCGGCGGAUGUCGCAAGGAAGAUACUAUGUGUGCUUCCCAUUGAGAAAUAUGGGCACAUAGUAACCGUGCUUCAUCAAGGCGAUCUCUCCACCGCGACACCAACCGCCAUAUUGGGGAAGAUCAAUGCUCAUGAGAUGUAUAUGCACAUGAACCCCCAAGAUGGCUCCUCAUCGGCCAAGAAGGAGAAGAAGGACUUGGCCCUCAAAGCUUCUCACAAGGGCAAAGCCAAGAAGAUUGAAGUUGAGUCAUCAACUUCAAGUGAUGAUGAUGCAUCCAUUGCCCUCUUGGUGAGAAGGACCACCAAGAUGUUGAAGAAGCUCAACAAGAAUGGAGUCAACUUUGACUCCAAGAAGAAGUUCUUCACAAGUAGCAAGAGAAAGCCCAUCUCCGAGAUGGAUUGCUACAAUUGUGGUGAACUUGGUCAUCUUGCUCAUCAAUGUCCAAAGCCCAAGAAGGACAAGUACAAGAAGAGGAACAAAGAGCAAGAUGAUUUAAGUGAUGAUGAAAAGAAUGAAAAGAAGCCAUACAAGAAGAAAGGUGGCAAGAAGAAGGAGCAUUACAAGAAGAAGAAUGGCAAGGCCUACAUUGUUGGUGAUUGGCUCACCGACAUUGAGAGCUCAAGUGGUGACUCCUCCGGCAAUGAGAGUAAUGAUGAGAAGGUUGCCGCCAUUGCCAUCGAUGCUUCAUCACCAUCAUCUUCACCACCAUCUACAUCCUCUACACACCUAUGCCUCAUGGCUAAAGGUGACCGUAAGGUACAAAGUGAGGAUGAGAGUAGUGAGAGUGAUAGUGAAUAUGAAUCACCCUCUUAUGAUGAACUUGUAAAAUUUCUAAACAAAUAUACAAAAGUCAUAAGAAAAUCUAGAAGUGAAAAUGAUAAGCUUGAACUUGAAAAUGAAACACUUCUAGCAAAGCUUAAAUCUAGUGAUGAGCUUAGAGAUCAAAAUGAGAUCAUGACCACUAAGCUCAAGGAGCUCAAACUCUCUUUAAAAGAGCUCAAAGAAAAACAUGAUAAACUUGAGAGUGUUCAUGAUGAGCUUAUCACUAGAUAUAGAGCAAUGAAAGAAGAGCUAACAACUCUAAAAGCAAACUAUGACAACCUUGAGAUAGCUUAUGAACUUGCAAUUGAUGAAACACAUGUUGCUACUAACCAUGUUGCUAAGCUUGAUGUAGCCACAUCUUGUGAUGACUUACUUGUGGAGAGCACAAGCAAAUGUGUUGAUUGCAAGGGCAAGAAAGUGGUAGUGGCCGAGAGCUAUGAGGACACUAUCAAGCUCAAGGAAGAAAUUGUCAUGCUCAAGAAAGAGUUACAAGAGAAAGCCAAGCACAAGACAAUUGUGAUUGAGUCACUUGAUCAAGAUAAGAAGCUUGCAUAUGAAAACAAGUUACUCAAAGAAGAAAAUCAAUAUCUCAAGCUUGGUUUGAUGUAUGACAAGCAAGAAGAAGAUGAGACAUUCAUCUUGGAUGAGUUAGCUAGCAACAAUGACCCAAUCAUCAAGAAGCUAACUCAAGAGAAUAGCAAGCUUAAGAAAGAGAAGGAACAUCUAACCAAGGGGUUAGCAAAGUUCACAAAAGGGAAGGACAUUCAAAGUGAGCUUUUCAUGAACAUCGUCAUGAAGAUGGACAAGAGUGGAAUUGGCUACAAAGCUCAUCAAACAAAGCUUAUCAAGUCACUAGCCACUCAUAAUCAACCAAGCAAGCCAAAGCCAAAGAGAUGCUUUGAGUGUGGUCAAGAAGGACACUUUGCUCAUGAGUGUAAGGCACCACUACCACCACCCUUGCCCAAGCAUGCUAGACCAUUUGCCUUCGAUGCUCACUACAUUGUAAGGAAAGACAAGAGUUGCAAGGUCAAGGUUAGCUUCAUGGGGCCGGUGCUUAUACCGUAUUUAUCUGCGAUUGUACCCAAUAUGCCAGAUCGUGGGUAGUUCGUGAUAGUGACAGCUUCAUUGAUUCUUAUAUAGUCCCCCUCUCGUGUAUUGGGCUGGCAGAGCAAUAUUAUUACAGGGGAGUGAUUGAUAUGUUUCUCAUUUACCUUGCUAAUAUCACUAUGCAUGGGCGUAGUCUUGUCUCGCAAUGAUUGCUAAGUAUGCUUGCACUAAUUAUGAUAAUGCUAGACUAUAUAGUUGAGAAUAACUUAGGAAAUAUUCUUGUAGUUCAUUCUAAUACCAUGCUAAUGACUUUCUAGAGUAUCUAAUUGAGGUGCUUAUCAUAUUUAUUAUGUGGCUAGAUCAGACUAAUUAUCUUUGUCACUAUUCAUUAUUUCAUAUAUCCUUUAUGUGACACUUAUCCCUGUAUGAAAGAGUUAGAUAAAUGUUCUCAAUUAUACAUGCAAUGAUAGAUACUCAAUCUCAUAUUCUAUUCUGUAAUCAAUAUUGAUGAUUGCUAAUCCCUUCCCAGUGGUAAAAAUAUAAAUAACGAUACCUGGAAUACUUCCCGGUUAAAAUGCUACAUCGGUAUUAAUCUGUGCGCUUGCCGAUCCCAUUCAUUAUUUAUUUAGAAGAGCAGUUGCAUAUUUCAAUACCGCGUCUCUCAUGUCAUGCUAGGGAUGACAACUUGGCUUAAGUGGUGUGAGGGAUAGGUUUGGCAUUUUUGGCACCGUUACUAGAAUUAGGAACUGUCUACUUUUGGUAAUGAUGUUAAGAAUACCCAACAAGCAUUUUUGGCGCCGUUGCCGGGGAAGGUUGAUUACUAAUCAAGAAUGGAAUAAAGGAUUUUGAGUUAUCAUUCGCAUCACUAAUAUGAUUGAGCUUAUUAGUUCUCUCAUACAAUUUUACCCUGAUAUUUUUCUAUUUUAUCUUAUGCAGGGAAAUGUAUGAAUAGAAGAUAUCUUCCAGGAAAUUUUGUUGACAAUCCCGAAGCAUUAUUCAGAAGAACUAGAGUCAAGCUCAAGAAGAGAUCAUCAACACUUCAGCAAGAAGCUUCAUCCAAUCAAGAAGAUCACCGGAACUUGUCUUCAGAGUUCGAAGCCAUGGCGAACAAAUCAAUCCGCGAGUUCUCAGCUUCCACUACGGACAACAUCCGCACUGGACCUGCUGCAGAGAUCGACGACAACUUUGAGCUCAAGCCUGGACUUAUCAACAUGGUGCAAUCCAACCAGUUCUGUGGGAAGCCACACGAAGAUGCUAGUGCUCAUCUACAACACUUCCUGAAGAUUUGCAACACAUUUACCAUAUCAGGAGUUUCCAAAGAUGCUAUAGUACUUCGCCUCUUCCCAUUCUCACUGUUAGGAAGAGCGAAGCAGUGGUUUUAUGCUACAAAGGAGAAGAAUACUACGUCGGCACUCUGCUCAACAAACUUCCUGGCUAAGUUCUUUCCCAUGGGCAAGACCAAUGCUCUAUGUGGGAAAAUUACAAGUUUUCAGCAACAAAAUGACGAAUCUGUUCCAGAAGCAUGGGAGCGCUUUCAAGACUACAUCCUAGAAUGUCCCCAUCAUGGAAUGGAGAGUUGGCUAUUGAUGCAGACGUUUUAUCACGGGCUCUGCAACAGUGCCCGAGAGACCAUGGAUGCUGCAGCUAGAGGAGCAUUUUUAUCAGUUACUAUACCACAAGCCACAGCUCGUGGAGAAGAUGGCGUCCAAUCAAGGCUGGAAUGAAGAGAGGACCCAGACACGCAAGAGAGAUGGAGGUAUGCAUCAGCUCAAGGAGGUAGACAUGCUGUCUGCAAAGCUAGACCUGCUCAUGAAGAAGCUCGACGAUAGAGCUGGAGAUAAGAAGGAAGUUAUGCACAUCUACGACUCUCACAUGACUUGUGAGGAGUGUGGAGAUACUGGACACUCAGGCAAUCACUGCCCUGAGAUGCUUGAGGAUGUGAACUACAUCAACAACAACAACAACUAUUACAACCGUCCUCAACAAAAUCAAGGUUGGAAUCAACAGAGGCCUAACUACUCAGGUAAUUAUCAAGGUAACAAUUCUUACAACAAUAAUAAUAAUUUUCCACCUCUGAGAGAGUUAGUGUCUAAUCAAGGAAAGCUAAUGGAUAACCUAUCUAAGAAAUUGGCAUCUAAUGAUAAAAUGCUAGAAAAUAUAAAUAAUAGAAUGGAUAAUUUCUCUACUGCCAUCAAGAAUCAAAUUAGGUUUAAUAAAAUGAUUGAAUCUCAGUUAAAUCAAAUAGCUGUUGCUGUUCCUACUACUAACACCGGUAUACCAUCACAACCAGAAGGAUUAGAAUCUGCAAAUCUUGUAGACAUGUUUGAUGUAGGUAAUUGGAGUAACCCCGUCACUGAAUUCUCUACUGACCUUCUGCCGGUAAGAGAGGAGAUCCAGGACGCCCCGUCAUCCCGAUCUCCAUCGGCAUGGUGGACGUCCCAGAAGCACUCUGCGACUUUGGCUCCAGCGUCAACAUUAUACCCAGGGUACUUUAUGAGAAAUUCUUUACAUAUCCUUUUUUAGAGACAACCAUGUGUUUGCAGUUUGUAGAUCAGACGAUAACUUUUCCAAAGGGAAUAUUGAAGAACAUUUGCGUCCGAGUUGGUACCUUGUAUGCCCUAGCAGACUUCGUAGUGGUAGAGACCGGUAAUGAUGAGACAGCACCUAUCAUCCUAGGGAGGCCAUUCUCGAACACAUCGGGAGCUGUCAUCUACGCUAGUGCUGCCAAGAUCAGUUUCUACAUCAAAGGGAGGAAGGAGACGUUUUUCUUCAAGAACAAGACUACACAAAUCCCAGAUCAAUCCAGACGUGAAUCAAGGAAGAGGACCAGCAGGAGGAACAGGAACAAGCAAGUGUGGACUGAGUCAGCUAAGAUGGUCACUGCAGUUCAUGGAGGCCAAGAUCAUCAACUUAAGUCACCAUUUUUGAUCAAGAAGGACGACCCAAGAAUGCCAAGCAUCUACUGCUCCAUAAAUGGAUACAACUUCUACAAGACGACUUGUGACACCGGAUCGGGCGUCAACAUAAUGGCCGCAGUCACCUAUCGGCUCUUGUUCGGAACCAUGCCACUAAGACCAACAUACAUUCAGCUCCAGAUGGCAGAUCAGACAUUUCAAGAAGUUAAAGGAACAGUAACUGAUGUCCCUAUCAAUAUAGACGAUCACUUUGUCUACACAGACUUUCAGGUUAUUGACAUGGGAGAAGACGAAUACGAUCCACCCAUCAUCCUUGGAAGACCGUUCCUCAGCACCGUUAAAGCAAUCAUCUACAUUGGAACCGGAGAGGUCCAUAUGCACUUCCCCUCACAGAAGGUACGCCGUUAUUUUACUGACCCUAACUACAUCGUUGAAGAAUCUAAGCAGGUAAGAAAGCGACGCAACCGCAACCAGAGGAUGCAGAUCAUCAAGGACAGAUGGGCAGACUAUGAAGGAGAAGUUGUAAGGUCAGAAGACGUAGAGUUUAAACAGAAUUAUCCAGAGGAGACUGAAGCACCGAGUCAGGUGUGGAAAGAGAAGAUAACUAUAUGUGAAGAGGAGGCGCCGCCGGAAGUACCGACUCCGCCACCCACCGAAUCCCAGGACAAUUAAUAAAGAGGAGAGUCCCGUUCAGAGGACUUAAAAACACCGAACGCCUUGCCAAGAGGUAAACUUGGUAGUUAUCCUUUCCCUUUUCAAUUAUUUUACUUAGUUACUCAUGUUCGUACUAUCCUAAAAAUAAAAUAAAAAUAUAAAAAACAGUAAGCCCCAUGUGAGUAUACGAGUGGCAUAAAACCCAUAAGUACAUUCACUGUGGUGGCAUAAAAAUAAAAAAAAUUCAUUUCUGCUUUAUAAAACGAAAAUAUAAAAACAGGGAGUAAUAAUUAUUAAGGAGUCUCAACAUGAUAAGGGCUAGAUAUUUAUGCUAACACUUAAUCAGUUCCACAAGCUUUGUUGUCUAUUUGAGCUCCACAGAGUUUAAGAAUCAAGAAGACUAGCAGACGGAGGACAUUCUAAUCGCUGUCAGAAUACUGCUGACUUUCAAAUACACCUCUGCCACCUGCUAGCUACAUCAAGAGAAAUUACAUCAAAAUUCAGCUUGGGGGAGAGCACCCCCAUUUAUACCGAUAAGUAUUUCUAUCUAUCUAUCUAUCUAUCUUUAUACUUAUACUAUAUUAAAAUAUAAAUAUACAUAAACCAGGAAAAAUCAAAUAAAGAUUUUAUGCUUAUAUAUAUAUAUAUGUCUUUUGCUUAGUGUGCUUAAUAAAUAAGUAAAGUGGCUAUGCUAAUCUGUAUCUUAAUAAUAAAACUCUAGCAUGGAUAUGAUGAAUAGUUGCUCUGCCUAAUUUGCACAUUUGAAGUUCUCUCUCAAGUUUAGAUAUAACUGUUAUAAUUUAAAGCUUGCUCUAGACCUAAACUUGUGGGAUGAAAACUUGAUCUGAAGUCUAAGUUGUUAACGGAUAUGAUAUGGGAAGGUUGAGCUGUUGUUUAUCUGUUCCUAGAGAUGCUAGAAUUCUGGAGAAUUUUAUCUUUGAAAAUCUUUAAAAUAUUGCAUGAUGAGUUCCUGUAUGAUGUGAGUUUAAAUUCCUACCACAGCCAUAUAUACAUGCUUGCUAGACUUUGAGCCACACAUUUACUAUUUACUGCUUAUGAGCAUUGAGUGUGGUCAAGCUGUGUAGACCCUUAGGAGCUUGUCAUGUAGUUAAAUCAAGAUUCACUUGCACGUUCACUCACAUAUGCUGCUUCCACUCCGGAAGUACCAUCCACAUAUAUCCACUCAUUUCCAUCUCCAGAAGCACCUAAAAUUAUUCUACUCCUAAUCCGGGAGAGAAUAGCUAAAAACAUUUCUGUUUUUCCCUUGUGAAAUAAAUGCUCAAGUUAUCUUGUUACUACCACUUGCUAUAUUAUCUCAAGAGAGGAGUGCUCUAAAAAAAGAAAUACGAGGAAAUAAAAAGGGCCAAGUGCCCGGAACCUCGAAAGAAAAGAAAAAGUGAGACGAGAGGUAAAAAUGGACAAGUGUCCGACAGUAGAAUUAGGGGUACAAGAUACCCACCUGAGAGAAAAGAAAAAGAAGAGCAUCUCAUUCUCCUCAUAAAGUUUCAAAAAGCAAGAAAGAUAUGUAUCCCCUCAAAGAGCAAAAGUAGAAUUAGACUUUCACCAUUGUUAUCACCAUCAUCACCAUACACCAUUCAUUCGCCACACAUGCACAUCUUGAUUUGACUUAUUGAUUUGUUUCUUUGGAUCCAUGGUUUGACUAUGCAAUAAAUGUCUUGUAAGUAUGUAUAUUUUAUCUCCCACCUAUGAGCUCCAGAUAUCAAAAGCCGUAUUAGAGUAGGGUGAGAGAGAAGGCAAUGUCACUAUGCCUUAUACCACAAAUACUACAUAUAUUGAGAGAAGUCAUAUACCAUCACUGCCUUGGUAAGGAUCCAGAAAUACCACAAAAGAGAGAUCUGAGAGAAUCAUACAAGGAAUCUCUGAGUUUUAUUUGAAAAUCUGCAAAAACACCAGAGCUAUAUCUGAUCAAGAAUAAGAGACAUGGCACUUGACUAGACUGUUCUAUCUUUUAACUACUCAAGACAGAAGUGACGGUUACAAGUCCCAUGGUGAAAGGUAAAGUAAGUAAGUUUUAAGUCUUGACAGUUUACUCUAACUCAGAGAUGAGAUCUUAUUUAAAAAAAGCAUGUGUACCGUCAAUUUUAAAGAUAUUGCAACAACUUAUGAUCCAUAGCUGAGUCUAUCCUUGCUCAGGGACGAGCAAGAGGUAAGCUUGGGGGAGUUUGUUGACGGUCCUUAAGUAUCAAAUUUAAUUAUCAAAUAAAUAAAGAAAAGGACCCAAAUGAAUUCAACAUCUAGACUUAGGGUUUUAUCUGACAGAAUUCCACGAGUUUUGGUGUUUGUCUAUUUCUGCAGGGGGUUAUCAGGAAAUACGGAAGAAAGGCCCACACGUCGGGAUUACAUAGAGAUAUUAACGUGCUGCGCAAUUAUCUUACAUCUAGAAGACUCCAAAAGCCACGAGACCGAAGCGGAGGCGAAACGGGGCCAGAGGCAGGGUGCCCGCCCUCCUGCCCUGGGCGCCCGCCCCCUCUAAGAGUCCAAUCAGGACUCUGCUUCGUGGGAGAUCUCCACCGACCUAAAGGAUCAAGGAUAACCGUUCGAUCUAAGUCGGUUUGAUCCAACGGCCCAUAUUCACUUGAAGGGACUAUAAAACCAGACCCCCUGGCCCCUGGAGGAGAGAGCCUCUCAACCCUAAUUCAUUGUUCUUCAAGGGAGAAAAAGCCUCUAAUCAAGAUUAGAGCCACCACAUCAAUUAGACAUCUAGAUUAGCAUAGCUACAUAGGAUUAGAACUAGAAGGAGUCAAUCUUCGAUUGGUUUCCGGAUCUGUCAGGAGGAUUCUUGGUAAUUCUCUAAUUGUUCUUCUAAUUAUCUUUGUUCUUCAAUAUUAUGAAUAUGACGUUGUUCUACUUCAAUAUAUUGCUUAUCACUUUGCUCUACUUGUUUAUAUUCAAGAUUAUAUUGUUCUUAGUUUAUCAUAGUUAUGUACUUGGCUUAGUUAGAUUGGAUCUAUAUACAUGCUUAGGAUCGUAUAGUGUUUAUCCAUCGGAUCCAUGGGUAAAUGAUAGAUAUUGUGUAGGCGUGGUGCUUAUACCGUAUUUAUCUGCGAUUGUACCCAAUAUGCCAGAUCGUGGGUAGUUCGUGAUAGUGACAGCUUCAUUGAUUCUUAUAUAGUCCCCCUCUCGUGUAUUGGGCUGGCAGAGCAAUAUUAUUACAGGGGAGUGAUUGCUAUGUUUCUCAUUUACCUUGCUAAUAUCACUAUGCAUGGGCGUAGUCUUGUCUCGCAAUGAUUGCUAAGUAUGCUUGCACUAAUUAUGAUAAUGCUAGACUAUAUAGUUGAGAAUAACUUAGGAAAUAUUCUUGUAGUUCGUUCUAAUACCAUGCUAAUGACUUUCUAGAGUAUCUAAUUGAGGUGCUUAUCAUAUUUAUUAUGUGGCUAGAUCAGACUAAUUAUCUUUGUCACUAUUCAUUAUUUCAUAUAUCCUUUAUGUGACACUUAUCCCUGUAUGAAAGAGUUAGAUAAAUGUUCUCAAUUAUACAUGCAAUGAUAGAUACUCAAUCUCAUAUUCUAUUAUGUAAUCAAUAUUGAUGAUUGCUAAUCCCUUCCCAGUGGUAAAAAUAUAAAUAACGAUACCUGGAAUACUUCCCAGUUAAAAUGCUACAUCGGUAUUAAUCUGUGCGCUUGCAGAUCCCAUUCAUUAUUUAUUUAGAAGAGCAGUUGCAUAUUUCAAUACCGCGUCUCUCAUGUCAUGCUGGGGAUGACAACUUGGCUUAAGUGGUGUGAGGGAUAGGUUUGGCAUUUUUGGCACCGUUACUAGAAUUAGGAACUGUCUACUUUUGGUAAUGAUGUUAAGAAUACCCAACAAUGUCAAGACUUGCUUAUUCACCAAGACCUCACUUGGUUGGUUGUGGCAUAGAAGGUUAGCACAUGUUGGAAUGGGCACACUCAAGAAGUUGAUGAAGAAAGAAUUGAUUAGAGGCUUGAAGGAUGUGACAUUUGAAAAAGACAAGCUUUGUAGUGCAUGUCAAGCCGGCAAGCAAGUUGCAAACACUCAUCCAACCAAGGCCUAUCUCUCUACUUCAAGAGUGCUUGAGCUACUCCACAUGGAUUUAUUUGGACCAACUACAUAUGCUAGUCUUAGAAGCAACAAAUAUUGCUUGGUCAUAGUUGAUGAUUUCUCCCGGUACACUUGGACAUUCUUCUUGCAAGACAAGGCCGAAGUUGCAUCCAUAUUCAAGAAGUUUGCAAAGAAUGCCCAAAAUCAAUUUGAUGUCAAGAUCAAGAAAAUUAGAAGUGACAAUGGCAAAGAGUUUGACAACACCAACAUUGAAGAGUAUUGUGAUGAAGUGGGAAUCAAACAUGAGUUCUCCACAACAUACACACCACAACAAAAUGGGGUUGUAGAAAGAAAGAACCGGACAUUGAUCACCUUGGCAAGAAUAAUGCUAGAUGAGUACAACACUUCGGAGAAGAUGUGGGCCGAGGCAAUCAACACCGCAUGCUAUGCAUCAAACCGGCUCUUUCCUCACAAGUUCCUAGAGAAGACACCAUAUGAGUUGCUCAAUGGGAAGAAGCCCGAUGUCUCAUUAUUUAGAGUGUUUGGGUGCAAAUGCUACAUUUACAAGAAGCACCAACACUUGGGCAAGUUCCAAAGAAGAUAUGACAUUGGCCACUUGGUUGGCUAUUCAUCAAAGUCCAAGGCAUAUAGGGUCUUUAACCAUGCCACAAACAUGGUUGAAGAAACAUUUGAUGUUGAAUUUGAUGAAACUAAUGGCUCCCAAGGAGCAAGUGAUAAUCUUGAUGAUGUAGGUGGUGAACCAUUGAUGGAUGCCGUGAAGAACAUGCCGAUGGAAGACAUCAAGCCAAAAGAAGAUGAUGAUGUGCUAGUCAUUGAGCCACCAUCCACCUCACAUGUACCUCAAGAUGAAGACGAGGAUGUGAGAGAUGCUCAUGAAGACACUCAAGUCACUCAUGAGCAAGCGGUGGCACAAGCACAAGAUGUUGAUGCUCCCCAACCAAUCCCUCAAGUGGCGCCAAGAAGAUCAUCACAUCUCCUCCAAGAUCACUCUCAAGACCUCAUCAUCGGGAGUCCAUCACGUGGUGUAACUACACGUUCUAGACAUGCUCUAUUUAUUGAACAUCUCGCUUUUGUGUCUCUUGAAGAUGAACCAAAGACUAUAGAGGAAGCUCUUCGUGAUGCGGAUUGGAUCAUUGCCAUGCAAGAGGAGUUGAACAACUUCUCUCACAACCAAGUGUGGACACUUGAAGAGCGACCCAAGGAUGCAAGAGUGAUUGGAACAAAGUGGGUCUUUCCGAACAAGAAAGAUGAUCAAGGCAAAGUGGUGCGCAACAAGGCAAGGCUCCUGGCAAAAGGCUUUUCACAAGUGGAAGGUCUUGACUUCGGUGAAACCUUUGCACCGGUGGCAAGACUUGAAGCAAUCCAUAUCCUACUUGCAUAUGCAUCUAGUCAUGAUAUCAAGUUAUUUCAAAUGGAUGUGAAAAGUGCUUUUUUGAAUGGCUAUAUUAAUGAGCUUGUCUAUGUUGAGCAACCCCUCGGUUUUGAAGACCCUAGGUACCCCAAGCAUGUCUACAGGUUGUCCAAGGCUCUCUAUGGUCUCAAGCAAGCUCCUAGAGCUUGGUAUGAGAGGCUUAGGGACUUCCUCAUUGAGAAGGGCUUCAAGAUUGGGAAAGUUGACACAACACUCUUCACCAAGAAAAUGAAUGGGGAAAUCUUCAUUUGCCAAGUUUAUGUUGAUGAUAUUAUUUUUUGUUCUACUAAUGAAGAUUUUUGUAAGGAAUUUGGUGAUUUGAUGUCCAAGGAGUUUGAGAUGUCCAUGAUUGGCGAGCUAUCCUUCUUCCUAGGAUUUCAAGUCAAGCAAAUGAAGGAAGGGGUCUUCAUCUCUCAAGAGAAGUACACACAAGAUCUUCUCAAGAGAUUCAAGAUGAUGGAUUGCAAGCCAAUCAAGACUCCCAUGGCAUCAAAUGGGCAUCUCGACUUGGAUGAGGGAGGUAACCCAAUUGACAAGACUCUCUAUCGUUCCAUGAUAGGAAGUCUACUCUACCUCACCGCAUCUAGGCCCGAUAUCAUGUUUAGUGUGUGUAUGUGUGCUAGAUAUCAAGCAAUGCCUAUGGAAUCUCACUUGAUUGCCAUCAAGAGAAUUCUUAGGUAUCUAAAAUACACACCUUGCCUAGGCUUGUGGUAUCCCAAAGGUGCAAGAUUCCAACUUGUAGGCUAUUCUGAUUCGGAUUAUGCUGGGUGCCGUAUUGAUAGAAAAAGCACAUCCGGAGGGUGCCACUUCCUAGGUAGAUCACUUGUCUCUUGGAUGUCAAAGAAACAAAAUAGUGUUGCUUUGUCAACGGCUGAGGCGGAAUACAUUGCCGCCGGUGCUUGUUGUGUACAAAUACUCUACAUGAAACAAACUUUGCUAGACUAUGAAGUAGUACUAGACAAAGUACCUUUGUUGUGUGACAGUGAAAGUGCCGUAAAACUUGCUAACAACCCGGUUCAACACACCCGCACAAAACAUAUUGACAUCCGCCACCACUUCCUUAGGGAUCAUGUUGCUAAAGGUGACAUCUCUAGAGAAUGUGGGAACGGAAAAUCAAUUGGCGGAUAUCUUUACAAAACCCCUAGAUGAAGCUAGGUUUUGUAUGUUGAGAAAUGAACUUAAUGUGCUUGAUCUCUCUAACUUCACUAAAAAAUGAAGUUGUGUGUUGAAACUUGUAAAUAGCUUUUGUUUUGCAUAUCAUGCAUACCAAAACUAAAACUAAAAAAAUUGUGUGUAGGGCUUGUCUAACAUGGUUAAGAUAACCCCUGUGUGUGUGUGAAAAAGCUUAACCUUGGAUCAAACUUGACAAGCAUUAGUUUACUUUCAAGUAUUGCAUUUCACCUCAUAUCAUAUGCAUGCUUGUUAGUUGACCGUUUCUUUUCGGUUAUUCUUUGAGCAUCCGCUAUGUUCGUCCAGAGAUAGGGGGAGCAUUCAAAGCUCACUAUGAUUCAAACCCCUAGCUUUAUGGCCAUACGAUGCUCCUUGGUGUUUUCUCGUGACUAUUUUCAUAAAAACUACUAAGCCUAAGGCUAAAUAUUUAUGAAAAUUUGAGGGUUUGAGAGAGGUCACCCAUACCAGUUCCACUUGGUGUUUAAGUCUCUUUGAAGUUGGAACUUGGUUGGGUAAAAGUUGGGCAAAGUUCUAAGUUGAAAAAGGACCCAGAGGUGCACCGAACGAUGCACCGGACGCUGUCUCCGUGCGUCCGGUGCGGUGAGUCUGCUGGACAACACUCACCGAACGCAGAAACAGUGUCCCUGCAGUGUCCGGUGAUGUGCGUCCGGUGCUCAACUAGGCGCCCUAGGGCACCGGACGCUAAAGCCAGCAUCCGGUGGCCAUCGUCCGGUGGUUGCGCGAUUUGCAACCGUCCCUGAGUUUUAGUCCGGUGGUCACCGGACGCGUCCGAUGCCACAUAAGGAGCGUCCGGUGACCCCACAGCGGGCAGAUAUAACCCGCGCCCGGGGGUUUCACGUGGCCAGUUUUCUUCUCCUCCGCAAUUUUGCCAGCCACGCCCGUGCCCUAGCGAAAGUCGCCGAGCCGCCGCCGUGGUUUUCUUCCUCUUCCUCGCGCAGAUCUACCCCAAGGACAUCUUCCCCAUCCUCCUUCGCACAGUGGUCCUUUCCUCGCGAACUUCUAGGGUUUGGGGUGAGCUUCCUUAUCUGCGCACUCAAGGUGUUCGAUUUUAUGUGUCAAUAGAUUAGAAUGAGGUUUUUGACCUCGAUUUGCUCCGUUUCAUCUGUGCAGCACCUUCAGGAGUGGUUUUGCGUUCUCUAGUGAUUCUCGAUCGCGAUCUGUCAUCCGGAACGCAUCUCGACGCCUCAUCGUAAGCCGUUCGCGCCCGUUCCUUAUCUGUUCUUACGAUCUAUAGGCUUUUCUCACCUCUAGCUAUUAUGUUUGCUUAUGUAUGCCCUAUCUAUUCUAUCUCUUGCAGCGCGUUGAUCUCUCGUGACAGUUUGUCAGUUGUCGGCAGUUGUUCACAGGCAGUUGUUCUUACGAUGGGUCAUUGUAAGAACGUCAGUGGUCCGGCAGCCAGCGCUGGUGGUUCUCCAGGAGGUGAUGGUGGAGGUGACCCUCCCCGUCGCCUGUCAGCGGUAGAGAAGGGCAAGGAAAAGAAGCUAGCCACCAAGAAGAGGAAGGACAGUGAUAGAGAGGUAGAGGUGGCAGAGGCAGUUGCAGCAGCGGCUGAGGCAGCAGAGAGGGGUGGUCGUUCAGGUGCCCUGAGGAUUGGGGCCGAUCUCACGCCACGACAGAGGCAUGCAGUUUUAGAGGCUGAGGCACUCCAUGGAUCCCCUCCUGGCACCAUCAUGCUAGGAGGUCAGCGUGUCAGGAUUGUGAUUAGAGAUCCAGCUCAGGAGGACUCGGACACGGAUACUGAGGCAGAGGCCCAGGCAGAGGGCCCGGCAGAGGCUCAGCAGCAGGAGCAGCCCCUCAGGAGGUCGACUCGUGCUCGUACUCAGGCCAUCCCCAGGACUGGUACGCAGGGUUAGUCUACCUUCGCUGCUCGCUCUACUCCAGCUAGAGGCGCUCCAGCUCCCCGUCAGGCACCAGUGAGGAUACACAAGGAUUACACUCAGGUUUCCGCUCGGGAGAUCCAGGAGCUGCGUUUCGUUCCCUUUUCUACUUGGUUUUCAGCUGCUAGGGACCCAAGGGCCAGUGCCAGAUUCUAUACAGUGGUUCAGGAGGACAUGUGUUGACGGUCCUUAAGUACCAAAUAUAAUCAUCAAAUAAAUAAAGAAAAGGAUCCAAAUGUAACCAACACCCAGACUUAGGGUUUUAACUGACAGAAUUCCACAAGUUUUGGUGUUUGUCUAUUUCUGCAGGGGGUUAUCAGGAAAUAUGGAGGAAAGGCCCACAUGUCAGGUUUACGUAGCGAUAUUAACGUGCCACGCAAUUUUCUAUCAUCUAGAAGACUCCAGAAGCCACGGGAUCGAACGGAAAGGUGAUCGGGCCCAGGGGCAGGGCGCCCGCCCUCCGCCCUAGGGCGCCCGCCCUCCGCCCUAGGGCGCCCACCCUGGUGCAGAGUCCAAUCAGGACCUGUCUCGUGGAUUAUGCUCCACCGACCUAAAGGAUCAAGGAUAACCGUUCAAUCAAUGUCGGUUUGAUCCGACGGCCCAGAUUCACUUGAGGGGACUAUAUAAGCAGAACCCUUGCCCCUGGAGGAGAACAAGUUCAUCAUAGAGUUGAGAGGUGCCCUCGAAGGAUAACCUUUCCUCUAAAUAGACUUAGGGCUUAGCAUCCAAUGUGAGAGUAGACUAGAUCUACUAGAUUGAGAGACAUAGAGUGGAGGUGUAGAUCGGAGGAAGCCCAGCCUGUCGGUGUCUACUCUGAGGUUGUACCUGCGGGAUCAAGUUCUCCUAACCCGAGGCUUGCUCCUAGGAUUCUUCAGUAAUUCGACUUCUAAAUUCUAGUAAGUUCUUGUUUUAUUGUUCUUUGGUUUAUGAGUUUACUUUAAUCUCUUUCGGUUGAGUUUAGAGUAAUCAUUGCUAGCGUAAACGUGGUGUUUGGGCUAGGGUACUCAUAGAUAUCCCCUGACUAGCUGGACCGUGGUAGUAGCGAGGAACGUGACAUUGCUGGACCGUGGUAUUAGCAGGAUGGGUAGGGUUUAUAGGUGCGGGUCGAACAUCCUCUGUGGUGUCUAGAUUCCGUGAGCCUCCCCAAUAGAACAGUAGAUCAUCCUUACCAAGGUUAGAAUGAGACUACGAUUGCAGUCUUCUCUAUACAUCGCUCACAUCGAGUCACAUUCUUUGUAGCCUAAAGGGUAGUAGCAAUAGAUUUGGUUAGUCAGAUGCACACUUUCUCCCAGUGGUAAAAAUAUAAAUACGAUACUUUGGAUAACCUCCCGGGUGAAGUGCUCACCGAUAUCCGUGCGCUUGCGGAUCAUUUCCUGAUGGCGUUACCAAAUAUCAACAAGCAUUUAUGAUGCCGUUGCCGGGGAGAAAGACGGUUUGCUGAGAUAACUUUGAGUCUUGCUAUUAUCUUGUAUUAUACUUUUAUACUUUUAUUCUUUUAUCUUUUUAUUUUUUCCAUCUUUGUGGAUAACUCAAAUUCCACACCUAUUCUUGAAUUUUUUGCACCUUCGGAGACCAGCCAUAGACCAUGGGAGUCAACAAGUCCUUUCUUUGCCCCUAAUUAUGAUCUGUGUCUGGAGUUGAUUGCAAUAGGUCAAAACCAACCCUUUUCUAUAGCUGAGGUCCUAUCUUUUAAUCAAGAAGAUAAUGAACUUUUAGCUACACCUAGGGAAUCUGUUAAUCUUUCUAUAAAUUCUGGUUUAAACCUAGCCCUACAAGACCAUGUUUUUCCUUGAUAUUUUCACAUUGGUCUUAAUCAUAUAACCUUUGGUAGAGGUUUUCUUUCUUUAUCUGUUAGUAAAGCAAGGUAUGUCUUCGUUCGUGGACAUCCUUCUUGCACUAGUCUUCAUAAAAAAUCCUAGAGAUAGAGAAGGAAUCAUCUCCCAGACGAGGAAAGGAAGUUUCAAUAGCCAAUUUCCAAACAUUUCAAUCCCAUGAUUCGGCUAUCCAACCCAUCCUUGAGCUUAAUAAUUUCUACUAUGCUCUUUCUCUUGAACCUCCCGAUAAUCCUAUGAAUCUCUCUAGACAUCCCAUGCAUAAGAGUCACCAAGACCACAAGGAGGAUCGAGAAGAGCAACAUCAAUGGCUAGAGGGCAUUAAAAAUCCAUGUGCUAUCACCACAUUUGAGAUCCCCAACCCCCUCUUCCUUUCUAUUUAUAAAAACUUUAAAGGGGUGGUUAUCGAUGCAUAUGUCUAUAAUAAAUAUUUCAGAUAUCGUUGAGUCGAUCUUGAUAUAGGCAUGCUUAGGUUGGUGUUGGAGGGGAAACCACUUCACCAACAUAAUUUGAUGGUUUCCCAAGGACAAGCUUAGUGUCCUAAAACAAGUACUUAUCAGAUCGUGACAUGAACUUCUAAUUAUUUGCAACAUUGACUUGUGUAUUGAGCAUAUAAAGAUAAUUGUAGAAAUAUUCCUUCGGGUAUUCUUGUCACUAACCUUUCUAGGAUUGGAGCAAGAAGAUCGGAUGAAUGACAAGCACAAGGUAUGCCCAACCAAUCAUCAUGCAACAUUGAAUUAAAAUUCAUCCAAUCUUGAAUUUUGCAAAAUUCAAGCUUGGGGAAGUACUUCACAUGAAAACAUAAUUUUCCAUGUUGCUUUGUUAGUUAUCCCUACCUUUGAGACAUGCUUGAUUUGUUAAAUACGAGUCACACUACUUUAUCUCCACUUGAGUAGAUCUCUAUAAAUGCCAUCAUGCUACCUAUGUUUAUCCUAGUAAGUGUUGGUUUGGAAGUACUGGACAUACUUCCAUUGGCAUUUAAAUUAAGCGUGGUGGUUAGGUUAAAUAGCCUUCCUUAAUCUGAUUAGACAUGGAGUCUAGUUUGGUUACUGAACUAAAAACUGCUUGAGUAGGCAUUGGUAUAUUUUGUCGGACUAACCCCUGCAGGAAAACUUUCAAUAUCAACCUGGGAAGUCCUGAGAUACAAACUCACAUUGGAGACAAAGGAGACACAUAAAGUUUAACGAUUUGCACAAGGAAGGACAUAGCUCAUUCAUCAUAGAGUGAUGAUCCAUGGAAGGAGACAAAGUACAUAAACAAGAUACACACCCAUUACGAAUGGGAAGCUUCCACAAAGUGAGAUGGUACCAUCACUCUUCAAUUAAGGUAACAUCUUAAGGUACUUGACUAUCGCUUUUAUAAGCUUCUCCUUGGUUCUGGAGUUCACAUAAAGAGACAAACAUUUAUGAUUUGUAACUCCAAAUUAACCAACCCAAUUAAUUCAACAUGUUUAGUCCUUUAAUCUUUGUUUAUAGUACUACCUUCGUGAUCCCACACUCCUAAUCAUAUAAGCUAAAAUGUUGCACAUUCAAUCUUUGGAAGAUAUAAGCAAAACAUAAAUAUAGAUAGAUUUAUUUUUCCAUUAGGUCAAGCAAUCUGAUCUGACAAAUGUUUUAAAUGCUACACUCAUGAUCUUAUUAUCCAUCAACUUUGUCUUGCUCACUAUGUUUAAGGUUAGAGAAGAACAAAUACACUUUUGGUUCUGUUGGUGUUUUUCACCAACAGAGCCCAUGCACUUGAUCUCUUCCUUGUCUCUGUGAGUAGGAACACUUCGAGCAUAAUAUGAAGGAGUUUUACAACUCCCAGACUCCACCAAGUGAAGACCCUAGAUCUACAAGCACAAACACACUGGAGAUACUGGACACUCAGGCAAUCACUGCCCUGAGAUGCUGGAGGACGUAAACUACAUCAACAACAAACAACAACUACUACAACCGUCCUCAACAAAAUCAAGAUUGGAAUCAACAGAGGCCUAACUAAUCAGAGAGGCGAUCCAGGACGCCCCGUCAUCCCGAUCUCCAUCGACAUGGUGGACUUCCCAGAAGCACUCUGCGACUUUGGCUCCAGCGUCAACAUUAUGCCCAGGGUUGCAGAUCGGACACUAAAGUUUCCCAAAGGGAAUAUUGAAGAACCUUUGCGUCCGAGUUGGUACCUUGUACACCCCAGUACUGCCAAGAUUAGUCUCUACAUCAAGGGGAGGAAAGACGUUUUUCUUCAAGAACAAGACUACACAAAUCUCAGAGCAAUCCCGACAUGAACCAAGGAAAAGGACCAACAGGAGGAACAGGAACAAGCAAAUGUGGACCGAGUCAGCUAAGAUGGUCACUGCAGUUCAAGGAGGUCAAGAUCGUCGACUUAAGUCACCGUUUCUGACCAAAAAGGAUGACCCAGCUCGAGAUGGCAGAUCAGACAUUCCGAAAGGUUGAAGGUUAUUGACAUGGGAACAGACAAGUAUGAUCUACCCAUCAUCCUUGAGAGACCGUUCCUCAGCACCGUUAAAGCAAUCAUCUACAUUAGAACCGGAGAAAUCCACAUGCACUUUCCCUCUAAGAAGGUACGCCGCUAUUUUACUGACCCUAACUAUAUAGUUGAAGACUCUAAGCAGGUCAGGAGAAGAAGAAGACGACACAACCGCAACCAGAGGAGGCAAAUCAUCAAGGACGGAUGGGCAGACUACAAAGGAGAAGUGGUAAGGUCUGAAGACAUACAGCUUGAACAGAACUAUCCUGAGGAGACCGUAGCAACGAAUCAGAAAGAGAAGAUAGUUAUACACGAAGAAGAGGCGCCGCCGGAACCACCGACUACGCCAUCCAGCGAAUCCCAGGACAACUGAGAAAAUGGAGAGUCCCGUUCGGAGGACUUAAAAACGUCGAACGCCUUGCCAAGAGGUAAACUUGGUAGUUAUCCUUUUGCUUUCGAUAGUUUGCUUAGUUAAUCAGGUUCAUGCUAUCUUGAAAAUAAAAUAAAAAUGGUAAAAAUAGUAAGCCCCAUGUGAGUAGACUUAUGGUUUAAAAACCCAUAGGUAUAUUGACUCUGGUGGCCUAAAAUAAAUAUGUUUUCAUCUUACAAUAAAAAGUGCAUCCUGCUAAAUAAAAUUUAUUAGGAGGAAGCUCAAUAUGAUAAUGGCUAGAUAUUUAUGCUAACACUUAACCAGUUCCACAAAGCUUUGUUGUCUAUUUGAGCUCCACAUAAUUCAAGGAUCAAAGAAGACUAGCCGGCGGAGGACAUUCUAAUCGCUGUCAGGGUGUUGCCGACAUUCAAAUACACCUCCGUCACCUGCUAGCUACAUCAGAAGAAAUUACGUCAAAAUCCAGUUUGGGGGAGAGCAUCCCCAUUUAUCCAGCUAAGUGUUUCUACUCGCGUUUAUACUUUACUCAAAUAAUAAAAAGAUGCAUAAUCAUGAAAACCCAAAUAAAAAUUUUGUGCUUAUAUAUAUAUAUCUUUGCUUAGUUUGCUAAAUAAAUAAAUAAAUAAAGUUUGCUAUGAACCCUAAUGAUAAACUCUUACAUGGAUAUGAUAAAUAGUUGCUCUGCCAUGUACCUAGUUUUCAAGUUUGAGCUUUCUCUCAAGUUUAGGCAUAACUGUUAUAAUUUAAAUCUGCUCUAAAUCUGAACUUGUGGGAAGAGUACUUGAUCUAAAGUCUAAGUUGUUAACGGAUAUGAUAUGGGAAGGUUGAGCUGCUGUUUAUCUGUUCUUAGAGAUGCUAGAAUUCUGAAGAAUUUUAUCUUUGAAAAAUCUUUAAAAUAACACAUGAUGAGUUCCUGUAUCAUGAGAGUUUAAAUUCCUACCACAGCCAUACAUACAUGCUUAUUAGACUUUGAGCUACACAUUUACUUUUUACUGCUUAUGAGCAUUGAGUGUGGUCAAGCUGUGUAGACCCUUAGGAGCUUGUCAUGUGGUUAAAAUCAAGAUUCACUUGCACGUUUACUCACACAUGCUACUUCUACUCCGGAAGUACGCAUCCACGUACAUCCACUCAAUUCCAUCUCCAGAUUCACCUAAAAUUAUUCUACUCCUAAUCUGGGAGAGAAUAGCCAAAAACAUUCUCCUAUUUCUAUUUUUCCCUGUGAAAUAAAUGCUCGAGUUAUCUUGGUUACUACCACUUGCUAUAUUAUUUCAGGAGAUGAGUGCUCAAAAAAAAGAGAAAAAUGAAGGAUACGAGAAAAUAAAAAGGGGCAAGUUCCCGGAACCUCGAAGAAAAGAAAAAGUGAGACGUGAGGUAAAUAUGGUCAAGUGUCAGACAGUAGAAUUAGGGGUACAAGAUACCCACCUGAGAGAAAAGAAAAAAAAGAAAAGAAAAAAUAGAGCAUCUCAUUCUCCUCAAAAAGCUUCAAAGAACAAGAAAGGUAUGUAUCCCUUUAAAAAGCAAAAGUAGAAUUAGACUUUCACCAUUGUUAUCACCAUCAUCACCAUACACCAUUCACUCGUCACACAUGCACAUCUUGAUUUGACUUAUUGACUUGUUUCUCUGGAUCCAUGGUUUGACUAUGCAAUAAAUGUCUUGUAAGUAUGUAUUAUCUGUCUCCCACCUAUGAGCUCCAGAUAUCAAAACCUUAUUAGAGUAGGGUGAGAGAGAAGGCAAUAUCACUAUGCCUCAUACCAAAAAUACCACAUACUUUGAGAGAAGGCAUAUACCAUUACUGCCUUAUCUAGAAAUACCACAAAAGAGAGAUUUGUGAGAGUCAUACAAGGAAUCUCUGAGUUUUAUGUAAAAAUCUGCAAAAACUCCAGAGCUAUAGCUGAUCAAUAAUAAGAGACAUGGCGCUUAACUUGACCGUUCUAUCUUUUAACUGCUCAAGACACAAGUGACGGUUGCAAGCCCCAUGGUGAAAGGUGAAAUGAGUAAGUUUUAAGUCUUAACAGUUUAUUCUAACUUAGAGAUAAGAUCUUGCUUGAAUGCAUGUGUACUUUUAAGGCAUGAAACCACUGCAGAAACUCUUGAGUUCAUCCUUGCUCAGGGACGAGCAAGAGGUAAGCUUGGGGGACUUGUUGACGGUCCUUAAGUACCAAAUAUAAUCAUCAAAUAAAUAAAGAAAAGGAUCCAAAUGCAACCAACACCCAGACUUAGGGUUUUAACUGACAGAAUUCCACGAGUUUUGGUGUUUGUCUAUUUCUGCAGGAGGUUAUCAGGAUAUAUGGAGGAAAGGCCCACACGUCGGGUUUACAUAGAGAUAUUAACGUGCCGCACAAUUUUCUAUCAUCUAGAAGACUCCAGAAGCCACGGGAACGAACGGGAAGGUGAUCGGGCCCGGGGGCAGGGCGCCCGCCCUCCCCCCUAGGGCGCCCGCCCUGGUGCAGAGUCCAAUCAGAACCCGUCUCGUGGAUUACGCUCCACCGACCUAAAGGAUCAAGGAUAACCGUUCAAUCAAUGUUGGUUUGAUCCGACAGCCCAGAUUCACUUGAGAGGACUAUAUAAGCAGACCCCCUGGCCCCUGGAGGAGAACAAGUUCAUCAUAGAGUUGAGAGGUGCCCUCGAAGGAUAACCUUUUCUCUAAAUAGACUUAGGGCUUAGCAUCCAAUGUGUGAGUAGACUAGAUCUACUAGAUUGAGAGAGAUAGAGUGGAGGUGUAGAUCGGAGGAAGCCCGGCCUGUCGGUGUCUACUCUGAGGUUGUACCUGCGGGAUCAAGUUCUCCUAACCCGAGGCUUGCUCCUAGGAUUCUUCAGUAAUUCGACUUCUAAAUUCUAGUAAGUUCUUGUUUUAUUGUUCUUUGGUUUAUGAGUUUACUUUAAUCUCUUCCGGUUGAGUUUAGAGUAAUCAUUGCUAGCGUAAACAUGGUGUUUGGGCUAGGGUACUCAUAGAUAUCCCCUGACUAGCUGGACCGUGGUAGUAGCGAGGAACGUGACAUUUCUGAGUUAUCUUUGCAGCCCACAUCUCGUUAGCAGGAUGGGUAGGGUUUAUAGGUGCGGGUCGAACGUAAUCUGUGGUGUCUAGAUUCCAUGAGCCUCCGCAAUAGAACAGUAGAUCAUCCUUACCAAGGUUAGAACGUGACUACGGUUGCAGUCUUCUCUAUACAUCGCUCACAUCGAGUCACAUUCUUUGUAGCCUAAAGGGUAGUAGCAAUAGAUUUGGUUAGUCAGAUGCACGCUUUCUCCCAGUGGUAAAAUUAUAAAUACGAUACUCUGGAUAACCUCCCAGGUGAAGUGCUCACCGAUACCCGUGCGCUUGCGGAUCAUUUCCUGAUGGCAUUACCAAAUAUCAACAACAUGUAUGAGGCUCUUGUUCGCUCACAGGCUCAGUUCAGAGAGCACAAGAUGCUCGACCUUGAGAUACUCGGGAACGUGGUUGGUGCAGACAUCAGGCAGUACUUCACAUAUCUGCACGGUCUCCUAGAGUUACUUGCCCUACCUAGUACUUACUGUGAGGACUCUGAGGAGUGGGUCAGAGAGUUCUAUGCCUCAGUGUGGGUUUCCCCUGAUCAUAGCUAUAUCCACUACGCACUGGCGGGUGUUGGGUAUUCUUAACAUCAUUACCAAAAGUAGACUUAGUUUUCUAAUUCUGAUAACGGUGCCAAAAAUGCCAAACCUAUCCCUCACACCACUUAAGCCAAGUUGUCAUCCCCAGCAUGAUAUAAGAGACGCGGUAUUGAAAUAUGCAAUUGCUCUUCUAAAUAAAUAACAAAUGGGAUCUGCAAGCGCACAGAUUAAUACCGAUGUAGCAUUUUAACCGGGAAGUAUUCCAGGUAUCGUUAUUUAUAUUUUUACCACUGGGAAGGGAUUAGCAACCAUCAAUAUUGAUUAUAGAAUGGAAUAUAAGAUUGAGUAUCUAUCAUUGCAAGUAUAAUUGAGAACAUUUAUCUAACUCUUUCAUACAGGGAUAAGUGUCACAUAAAAGAUAUAUGAAGUAAUGAAUAGUGAUAAAGAUAAUUAAUCUGAUAAGCAUAACUUAGCCACAUAUAAAUAUGAUAAGCACCUCAAUUAGAUAUUCUAGAAAGUCAUUAGCAUGGUAUUAGAACGAACUACAAGAAUAUUUCCUAAGUUAUUCUCAACUAUAUAGUCUAGCAUUAUCAUAGUUAGUGCAAGCAUACUUAGCAAUCAUUGUGAGACAAGACUACGCCCAUGCAUAGUGAUAUUAGCAAGGAAUAUGAGAAACAUCGUAAUCACUCCCCUGUAAUAAUGUUGCUCUGCCAGCCCAAUACACGAGAGGGGGACUAUAUAAGAAUCAAUGAAGCUGUCACUAUCACGAACUACCCCACGAUCUGGCAUAUUGGGUACAAUCACAGAUAAAUACGGUAUAAGCACCAUGCCUACACAAUAUCUAUCAUUUACCCAUGGAUCCGAUGGAUAAACGCUAUACGAUCCUAAACAUGUAUAUAGAUCCAAUCUAACUAAGCCAAGUAUAUAACUAUGAUAAACUAAGAACAAUAUAAUCUUGAAUAUAAACAAGUAGAGCAAAGUCAUAAGCAAUAUAUUGAAGUAGAACAAAGUCAUAUCCAUAAUAUUGAAGAACAAUUAGAAGAACAAUUAGAGAAUUACCAAGAAUCCUCUUGACAGAUCCGGAAACCAAUCAAAGAUUGACUCCUUCUAGUUCUAAUCCUAUGUAGCUAUGCUAAUCUAGAUGUCUAAUUGAUGUGGUGGCUCUAGGCUUGAUCAGAGGCUUCUUCUCCCUUGAGGAAUAAUGAAUUAGGGUUGAGAGGCUCUCUCCUCCAGGGGCCAGGGGGGUAUGGUUUUAUAGUCCCUUUAAGUGAAUAUGGGCCGUUGGAUCAAACCGACAUUGAUUGAACGGUUAUCCUUGAUCCUUUAGGUCAGUGGAGAUUGAUCCCAAAAGAGAGUCCUGUUUGGACUCCAGGAGGGGGCGGGCGCCCAGAUCAACAAAGCAGGCGCCCAGGGCCUGGCUCCGUUCGGCCUCUGCUUCCUUCCCGUGGCUUCUAGAGUCUUCUAGAUGUAAGAUAAUUGCGCGGCAUGUUGAUAUCUCUAUGUAAUCCCGACGUGUGGGCUUUUCUUCCGUAUUUCCUGAUACCCCCCUGCAGAAAUAGACAAACACCAAAACUCGUGGAAUUCUGUUAGAUAAAACCCUAAGUCUGGAUGUUGAUUUCAUUUGGAUCCUUUUCUUUGUUUAUUUGAUAAUUAAAUUUGAUACUUAAGGACCGUCAACAUCGGGCACUGACUAUAGGGUGACAGCUCAGAGUGCCAGAGAGGUUCUUGGAUUGAGAGCUUACUCCACCAGGAUUCACUAGCUAUGCUUCAGGAACUUCGAGCCCCCUCGACGUCCUCACGGUGGUGCUCUACCACCGGUUGACUUUGUGGCUCCCUGUUUCCGUCAGCCUUUUGGAGAGGGCUCUAGCAGGACAGUGGGAGACUUGACUCGCCUAGAGAGGAUCCUUGACUUUGUGUUGAGGAAGACACUCUUUCCUAGGACAGGCUACAGAGACGGCUUCACCAGGAUCCAGCAGUGGUUGGUAGCCCACCUCAUCUCGAAGACACCUUUUGACUUGUGGGAUCUGAUAGUCUCAGAGAUCGAGGAUACCAUUUCAAAGAGCUUUAGGGGUCGGCGUCAGUUGCCGUACGCACACUAGAUCACCAUGAUCAUCCUUCGUGCUAGGCCAGUACCACUUCCAGCUCACCUGCAGAGAGAGCUGUCAGACUCAGACACCGUGUUCCCCCACUAUCACCCCAGGCAGAUGCUGAGAGUGCAUCACGACCUCAUAGCUCCACCACCUCCUCGUGCACCGCGUGGCCAGGUCCCACCACCCUCUCCUAGGGGUACUCGCAGUUUGAGAGCAGUUCCAGAGACUGAAGAGGAGCAGGAUAUCGUUAUUGGGGCGUUUGCAGAUGCGGAGGCCGAGGAGGAGUUUGAUUUCGCUUCAGACAGCUCAGACGAUGAUUAUCGUCUCCUAGUACCAGACCUUCCUCCUAGGCCGCACGACCACAAGGUAGGAGGCUCCUCGAGUGCUUCAGACCCUGCUCUACUUGCUAUUUUAGAGGGGAUGAGAGCCGAUCAGCGGCGGGCUGCUGAGGAGCAGGCGAGGAGAGACACGGACCAGGCUGCCAUCAAUGUAGCUAUGCAGGCUAGGCAGGACGAGCUCCAGAGACAGCUUUUGACCUUCCAGGAGCAGCAACUUGCAUUUCAGGCUCAGCAGACAGUGAUGAUGGCCGCUCUUAUGGCUGCCUCAGGGAUCCAGCUUCCACAAGUUCAGCUCCCAGGCACUUCGUCAGUCAGGCCUCCUACCCUAGCUCCCCAGAGUCAAUCUCAGCAGCCGCUUCAGCUUCCUGCUCAGAGUCAGCCUUUCUCGACGCCACAGCACCAGGUCUCUUAGGGUGCUAUCUCGUCUGGCUAUGAGCAGGCACCUUAGUUCACGCCUCUACGCUCUGGUUUUACACCUCAGUCAGCGACAGCAUCACAGCUCGUGUUGGACUCGUCGGCAGGCCAGCACAUCAGUUUUUUGUACAGUGCUCUGACUGGUGACCCUACGCCUCCACCCUUGUAGGCUCCUGCAGCUUUUACGGUCCCAGUUACCACCACCGAGCGCCUGUCGUCAUCAGUAGCUUCGUCUGAGCAGCUUGCACCUUCCUCUACCGUGCCAAAGACGUCAGCUACAGCGACCGAGUCCAUGCCAGCUUCGUUAGCAGGACUUGAGCAGCCAGCACAGCCCGUGUUAGCUACAGAGCCCGCAGAGCCGACCCAGAGCGCUUCGCCAGCUCGUGCAGCUUCUGAGGGUCACUCUAUGUCCUCCGACUCGACGGCCGAUGGAUUAGACGAUGCAGCAUGUUUUUAGGCCGUGCCAAGGGACUCCACUGCUCCGCCUCCACCUCCGUCUUCUUAGGUUUUUGGCGCUUGAUGCCAAAGGGGGAGAGAGUUGAGAGUAUGAGAGUUAGGGGGAGCUAGAGAGCUAGAGCUAGAGAGGGCUUUGUUAUUUUGAUAUACUUGUGUGUGCUACUCCACCAUGCAUCAUGUUUACGUUUAUGCAUUGCAUUUGUGUGAGAUACUCUUAUGCUUGCGAGAUACACUUUGGUUGUGAGACAUGACUUAUGCUUAUUUGUGAUAUCUUUAUGUCAUGUGUUUGGCUCAUAUUACUUUGCUUCCGCGUUUUACUCUGAUUUACUAUGAGCCUUUUGUGAUUAUAUCCUGUUGUAUACAUCUCACAUAUUUGGAUGCAGGAUGUUAGACUUGGUUGAUAUAAGCAUGCCUAAUCCCUUUGCUCUUAUUGUAUCAUGCUUAUAGAAACCAAGUCAUUUCAAAACCUCAUUUCCUUUCAUACUCGAGGUUAUUGUCAUCAAUCACCAAAAAGGGGAGAUUGAAAGAGCAUCUAGGCCCCUAAAGAUUUCGGUGAUUAAUGACAAUGUUAAUUACUAUGACUAACGUGUGUUUUGCAGAGGCAAAGUCAUUAGUGAGGUCAUGGUAAUAGGUACUCGAUGAACAGGGACGUAGAUGCCUACUUAAUAGUGGAAAUCGCUAUGGUUUUCAAAGGAUGGAUGGACAUCGUCAAGACUAGACUAGGUCUAAGUGCCAUAUGGUGAAGAAGGGCACUUAGAGUAGUUUAGGACUUUGUUUUCCUUUGACCAUACUAUUAAGAGGGGCUUUGAUCUAGUAGCUUAACUUAGGCAAGGCUUUAGGUUUGGUGUGGUGCACACUUGGUAAACCUAGCACUAGGCAGCUCAAAGAUAGUCCUUAGAUCGAGAGGAACCAACUUCGUUUUGGAACGAUCGCGUUUCGACGAAGUUAGGGUGCCUAAGUAGGCACCGGAGGCUGCACCGGACGCUCUGUGAGUGCGUCCGGUGAGGUCCUUAGCCGUUAGAGGGCUUUGGUGCUUAGGGUUAGGCACCGGACGCUGGCACCGGACUCACCGGGCAGCGUCCGGUCCCAUACCCAGGGAGGUUGCAAACCUGCCCCGAGCACCGACGCUAGCACCGGACGCACCGGGUAGCGUCCGGUCUUAAACUCAGGGAGUUUGUAAAAAUCCCCGGAGCACCAGACGGUGCCACCGGACGCUGAGAAGUAGCGUCCGGUGACCUGUCAGACGCAGGUACAGUUAGCCGUUGGGUGUCACCGGACGCUCGGUGCAGAGCGUCCGGUGCAACAUCAACAGCGUCCGGUGACCCCGUUUUCAGUGGAAAAUGGUUGGCUGACCUUUGGACUUUGUGGGGUGUAUUUAUACUCCUCCACCUCGUCCAUAAAAGGUCUCUUGCCCAUUUGAACAGCUGAAGAACUUGUUGUGGAGCAAGAGAGCAGCACGAGCCUAGAGAGGAUUGAGAUUUGAGUGAUUUCUUGUGAGAAUCCUUCUCUAGUUGAAUUCCAAGAGUCAAGUGUGCAUCCACCACUCUCUAGUGCCUUGUUUGGGUCAAAUGAGAGUUCUUUGCUUGUUACUCUUGGUGAUCGCCAUCACCUAGACGGUUCGGUGGUGAUUGGAGGCACGAAGACCGCCCGAAGUUCUUGUGGGUAGCUCGUGUCAAGCUUGUGAGCGGUUUUGGGCAAUUCACCGCGACGGAGUGUCGAAGAAUCAGCCCGUAGAGAGCACUUGGUCCUUGCGCGGACCAAGGGGGAGCAAGACCCUUGCGCGGGUGCUCCAACGAGGACUAGUGGAGAGUGGCGACUCUCCGAUACCUCGGCAAAACAUCGCCGAGCAAUUUCUUCCACUACUCCUUUACUUUCUAGCAUUUACUUUGUGUUUUUACAUUCUUAGAAUUGCCAUGCUAGAAUAGGAUUGGAACUAGGUUGCAAAACUUUUAUCUGGUAGCUCUCUAGUCACACUAGGCACAAGGGGUUGAAUUGGAGCUUAUAGGUUGCUUAAAUUUUUAGAGAAGCCCAAUUCACCCCCCCCCCUCUUGGGCAUCUUGAUCCUUUCAAUUACUUUAUUGAAUGGCCAUGCAAUGUUCAUGUUGAGAGCACAAUGGUCCAUGAUUUUUUUACAUCUUUUAAAUCUGUUUUUUUGCAUAAGUAAAUAUCAAAUAAAAUUUUGCAAACAUACAUUCCCAUCGUUUAGUUUGACGGUAGUGAGUAAGUAUGCAUAUUUUUAGGUUCUUUUAAAAUAAAUAAAAUUAAAACAAAUGGUCUAGGAGCCAUAAAAAAUAUUAUAAUCAUCCACAUAAAUGUUAAAAACAAAAACAACCCAUUUGUUUUGUAUUUUGAAAUUAGGAUUCAUCCAAAAUACUAUAUUUGAGUUUUCGAUUGAGUUGUUUAGCCCUAAAAUGUAUUCCAAAAAAUUGAAAAAGAUCAUCUAAAAUCAUGAUUUGGAAAUUUAAAUUUUCAGUUGUGUAAUUUCUAAGCAUACAUUCUCAAGUGAAAUUCAAAGUCACUUAAUGAAGUGCGUCAUGAAUUUAGAUGAUGACCUGCUUUAUUAAAGAACUUUUGGGUUUUGAAUGAGCAUGUAUGCUAAAAAUUACAGGAUAAAAAAAAAUUCUUUCCAAGACAUGAUCUUAGAUGAUUUUUUCUGGAUUUCACAAAUACAUUUUUAUGGCUAAAAUGUUCAAUAAAAAACUCAAAUAUAACAUUUGGAAAGAAUAUUAAUUUGAAAACUAUUGAAGUUAGAAUGGAUAGUGCUUGCUUUUAAGAUCUAUUUGGAAGAUUAUAGUAUUUUAUAUAGCUCCUAGGUCAUAUAAAUUAAUAAAAAGUUUUUUUAAAAAUAAGUACAAUUAAUAUCUAAUUCUAGAUCAUAGUAGUUAAUAACUAAUAUAAGCAUUGUAUUAUUGCAUCAAGAUGCUAGAGAAUCUACAUCCUUUGUGUUGUCACAAUCAUUGAGGAAAAACCUUUACUUCUACCUCCACAUGAGACCUUUUUUUUCUAAAUUCAUCACAAGAAUUUAUGUGUUGUAUUUUUAUCACUUGUGUUGAAUGCAUUUAUUUAUUUAAUCUGCAAGAUCAUACAAGGAUGUCAAGAAAUAUGUUGGUUGAAGAAGCAAGGAUUGAGAAUGGAAGUGAAAGCCUUUUAAAUGUAUUAGAAACUAAUGUGUAAGAUUCGAGGGAUAUGUAGUAUAUAAGUGUUGUAUAUGGAAUGAAUACUUUAGUUGCUGACUCUGUUUUCACUGAUGUUACAUGAAUGCAUUUCAUGUGGUCUUUCAUCUUCUCUUUAUUAUGGUGUCCAACAAAAAAAGUUGUGCAUGAAUUGAAAAAUAGUUUCACAAACUAUAUAUAUUAGCAAUAAUGAAAACCAAAAACAAAAAAGCGUAUCAACUUUGCUUGACACAAAAUUCAACGAGACACCAAAUUUAAAAUUUCUCUACAAGAUGUGGAUACACAAUUUAACGUCUUCAGAAAGCGUCUCAUGUCUUGUAGACACAUAUGGCAUUAUGUCUUCUGUCUAGUAGACACGAUUGAUAAAACGUAUCUACGAUUACUGACAUGAUCUGUGUGGAGAAUUUUGAACACGCUUAAGUAUACUUCACUAUUGAUGAAACAAAGCGUAUCUAACCUAGAAAUAAAACAUAUUUAGAGACAAUUUUCUUGUAGUUUAUUACGUCUUUAGAAGAUGAUGUCCUAGAGGUAUUAGAAGAACGUGAAGAUAGAGUGAUAGAGUGACGCCAAAGUCCGGGCACACUUGUAGCAAUAUAAUGCUAUGCGGUGCUCCGGCUCGAAGGAGUAACAAACCAAAUUUAAUUUCCUCUUGGUUAGAAGAAGCGAAGAAUCACACCAAACACUCUACGACACAAGCGAUUCUUUUCACCGCAUACGACACCAGCACCGCAAAAAUUAGCUAGGCUCGAUGUUUUUCGUGUCGCAGUGAUGGCCACUAUACACAUACCGCACCGUGUGGUUAGCAACCAUGGUCCCAAACACACCCCUAGCUACAUGGGAGCUUUCAAAAGAUCUUGGUUUAGCCAUAUAUUAGAAUUAGAAGGGUUCCCCAUGCAUUGGUACGAAGGAGGAAUGUAAAUAUGUUCUCAUUAUUGUCUAUCGAGUUAUCUAUAUAUAGUUUGAUUAUUACUAGUCAGAUUUCAAAGAGAAAGAGAGGAAGUAUCCACUACUGAAAUCAUUCAUGAGUGAGUACUUGCUUGCGGGAGCAGGAGAACUGGAUGAUGACUUGGUUCAAUGAGGUUCUAGAGGAUUAGGCUAGUGGGGUUUAUCUUUAUAAUAGGAGAUAUAGGAGAUGUUUGGUUGGGGGUGUUAAAGUUUAACAGGUAAUAUAGAAUUUUUAUUUAAUUUGACAAUUAGUGUCCAAUCAUACACUAAUUAGGCUCAAAAGAUUUGUCUCAUAAAUUAUUCUCUAGUUGUGUUUUUAGUUUCGUAAAUAAUCUACUAGAAAAAGUGUCCGUGUGUUGCAAUGGGUGAAAAAGUAUAAAUCAUCCAUAGUUUAAUAUCUGUCUUAUUUUAUCUUGAAACAACAAUUUUUCAUUUACAUCAUUAUAUUUUUAUUGCACUGAACAUUAUGCUAAAAAUAUAUCAUCACACUAUAAAAAAGCGAGUUUUUAGGGGUUCUCCCUCUAUAAUAACCAUUCGAUUUGUAUGCCGUGCUAUAUGAGCCCGUUAUGCAUGAUCUUACUCUUCUUCUAUAAUAACCAUUCGAUCUAAAUAUCAUGCUAUAUGAGUCUUCCAUCAUCUAUGAUUUUACAUGGAAGAUUUAAGACCCCUAUUUAAUCUUACAGUAAUGUUACCCAUUAUAAGUCACGUUCUUCUCUCUCUACGUAUUCUUGACUCUCUGAUUUUGACUCGAUAUAUUUUUUUUCUACUUAAGUAAUCAAUUGCUCCUUCAUCAUGCAACUUUUGUUCAAGUCGAGACCAAUAACACACAAUUAAUCAAUGAGGAAUCCAAACUAAUGACGGGAAAAUUAUUAAAGAUAGAAUCAUGACCAUGUAUUCUAACGGGAAAAAUAAUAACUUGAUAGUCACGUGCCCAUACACAAUGGUCAUUUGCACAGGCACGGAAGCUGACAUUGCUUGAUUUGGCUACUGUUGAUAUCGCCAUCAAACGUGAGUGGUAGGAGGCGGACACGCAUGGCUAGCAUUGCGUGCAUCCUCUUGGCUUCGACCGCCAUGACAUACUCGUUGUGCGUUUGUUACUAUCAGCAUAGUUUGUGUAAUUUUUAUUUGCUUUUCUGAAUUUUAUAUAUUAGUUAUUCAAAAGAAAUGAUUUUAAUUAAAGUUUAUAUUUUAUAAUAAAAGACAUUUUCUUCUUUACGCACAGUUUUUAAAUUAUGGUCUGCUCUUUGAUUUUUGGCCUUUUCAUUUUUAUAGCUACUGCAUGCCCAAUUGCCCAUGAUAAAUCUUGGCAUGUUACCUGUUGGUCGUGCAAAGUUAUAGGCAGGCUAAGCGUGGUCCUUUUUCUAAUUUGUUUUAUUUACUGUUCGGAGCACAGUUCGGAGGUGUAGAUAGAUAGAGAUAAUUUCCAAACUGAACAGGAUCGACUUUGAAAACCAUAAUCCGAGUAGAGAUCGGAGUUGAAGGAAAAAUAUUGUGGACUGAAACCUAUACGGACUGGAUAGGUAGAAAGAAAUAUACCUGGUGGACUAAAAUUUUUAUAAUUAUAUACUAGAAAGAUAUUUAGUACUUUAUAUAUAUAUAUAUAUAUAUAUAUAUAUAUAUAUAUAUAUAUAUAUAUUCGAUGUGAUAGACACUAAAGUUUAUAACUAAAUAGAUCGUAUCAUUCAUUGAUUUUUGGAUAGUGGUAUCAGCAGGAAGCACGUGACAGCAACUACUAAGCCUAUCUCAUCCACUCUUUGCAAUGCCAAGUGGCAGUUACUCGUUGGGCUGAACCUUUCCUACGUGGCACUUCUCAAGAUUCUUGUGUGAUAGGCCAUGGGGGCCACCACCAGGUGCCACAUCAGAUGCCAAAGCCAUCCGGGCUGGACCAACCGGCCAAUCCCAGCCCAUCAAAAGAUGGCCUGUUAUCCAACCCCAACUGUAUAAAAGCAGCUUCUGUGUUCUGUUCAAACACAGCCGAUCACACGCAUACACAACACAGAGCAAGCUAUCAUCUGAUCGACAUGGCCGGCGCCACCAUGGCUCUCACCUCCCGCGCGCUCGUCGGCAAGCCGGCGACCACCAGCACCAGGGACGUCUUCGGCGAGGGCCGCAUCACCAUGCGCAAGACUGCUGCCAAGCCCAAGCCAGCGGCGUCCGGCAGCCCCUGGUACGGGGCCGACCGCGUCCUGUACCUGGGUCCGUUCUCCGGCGAGCCCCCAAGCUACCUGACCGGCGAGUUCCCCGGCGACUACGGCUGGGACACUGCCGGGCUGUCUGCGGACCCCGAGACCUUCGCCAAGAACCGCGAGCUGGAGGUGAUCCACUGCCGCUGGGCCAUGCUCGGCGCGCUCGGGUGCGUGUUCCCGGAGCUGCUCGCCCGCAACGGCGUCAAGUUCGGCGAGGCCGUGUGGUUCAAGGCGGGCUCCCAGAUCUUCAGCGAGGGCGGGCUGGACUACCUCGGCAACCCGAGCUUGAUCCACGCGCAGAGCAUCCUGGCCAUCUGGGCGUGCCAGGUGGUGCUCAUGGGCGCCGUCGAGGGGUACCGCGUCGCCGGUGGCCCGCUCGGAGAGGUGGUCGAUCCUCUGUACCCUGGCGGCAGCUUCGACCCGCUUGGGCUCGCCGACGACCCGGAGGCGUUCGCGGAGCUGAAGGUGAAGGAGAUCAAGAACGGCCGCCUCGCCAUGUUCUCCAUGUUCGGCUUCUUCGUGCAGGCUAUCGUCACCGGCAAGGGUCCCCUUGAGAACCUCGCCGACCACCUCGCCGACCCUGUCAACAACAACGCCUGGGCGUACGCCACCAACUUCGUCCCCGGCAAGUGAGCGAGGGCAUGCUUGUACCGUAGACAUACGUAUCCGUAUGUACUGCAGGGUGUACCAGUAUUUGUGAAGGGAGCUUGGGUCAGAGAUUGUACCAGUAGUGUAUUUGUAUGCAUGUUCUGACCUGAUC
rnacentral:lncRNA from 1 species